rnacentral:lncRNA from 1 species
UGCUUAUUUGUUUUAUUUUGUGCAUAUAACUGUAUAUUUCAUGGUUGACAUAAAGUAAAUAAAUAAAUAAUUCUAACACAACCUUUUUGUCCCUAUAUGGACAUCUAAAUAUAAAUUUGUAGAUUGGCUUCAAUCAGAUUGAAAUAUCAGACAAGCUUAACAACUUAAGCUUGAAGCUUGAUUAUUCUUAUAUAAAUAAUGUAGUUGGUCUACAUAGAUUGCAGACUAUUUAGGAAGUGGUGGAGUUCAUCCUGAGGAACUUGCUGUUGGUUUAUACAAUGAUUUUCAGCCACUUGAAGGACAUGAUACUGGACAAUUUCCGGGUUUUGGAGUCCAUGGGAAAAGAGGAAGUUCAAGCAUAUCAACUUACCUCUUGAAUCCCUAAGCAGGCCAUGAAAAUUUCUAGUGUUUGUCAAGGUAUGCUUCUAUUGAUACACUGUGUAUGGCUUUCUGUUUUUCACUUGGGUUACUGUCAUGUUUAUUCUCUUGUUUUUAUAGCUAGGAUUAAGGAGUUUAUUCACUAGGUGCUGUUGUCGUCAUAGUUGCUAAGCAAGUAUCCUGAAGUUCUUUUUGUGAUACCAUCCAUCACGAAACAUAAUGAGUACAGAUUCAGAGUAAAGGGGAUUCUUCGGGCGGCUAAAUCUUUUCUGAAAACUUGUUUUCAGUAGCAUAGAUGACAGGAAUCGUGAUAUUUCCCGGGCUUUCAUGGAAGAAAAUUUUCUAAUAACUGAAACUCUUUUCAGUUGUCCACAAAUCAAAUUUGAAUAUGAAGCCAAAUAUCAGAUGCAGAUUUACGGGCUUCUUUCAGAGCGACAAAGUUCAAUGCUAUCAGUUGUAUGGGUUCAAGUGAUCGGAGCUUCAUCCAGCUCAAGUACACAUAACAGAGUAUGAAAAAUAUCCAAACUUACCGUUAAAAGUUCUCAAGUUCCAGAUUUGACCUGUAGUCACAUUCAAGUUUAUACAUGACUACUGAUAUACGAAAUGGCAAUAUUAUUCAGUUCCAGGAAAGUUACAUGCAUAGGAUCUGAGUUUCAUUUUAAUUGAAUGGUUUCAAGCUGCAAUAUAUUAUAUAUAUAUUUUAUAAUUAAUGGAGUUUGCAUUCCUCAUUACAGGAUAAGAAAGGAAGAUUAAUUCUCAGUUGGAAAAGCAUUGAAACAAGCUUCUCAUGCUCAUAAUCAGCUUCCCAGUUGCUCACCACGGUAUCUUUUCCAUAUGCACGUGUUGAUAAAAUUAUUUCUUGGUUAUAUAACCUGGAUAAAUAGCUGUUCGUUGGCAACACAAGCAACAAAAUUACACAAAUUAAUUCCAACAAAAAUAAUAUUUUUACACGAGAUAUUUGGUUGAGAGAAGAGGGUUAAUUAGAUGUUUACUAUUGAGAUCACAAUUUUGAAAUGAGCACAGGCAAUUGAACAAGCUGUUACACAGACCAUCCAGCUGAAGAAAUCAACGACUCUUCGGCAUUCGUAUGCAAGCUCGAAAACCACUGUCCUUCUGCUAAAUUAACUUGAUAGCUAGCAACCAAGACAAGGAGGAGAACCCGGCACAUUUGCAGUUUCUAGUUUUUCAUGCUUGCCAUCUUUUCUUGUGAUUGAAAUGAGUUGAGAUUUAUUUAAAGGUUUUAUCUUAGUAUGCAAUUAAUGGUUUGAAAACAGAUUAUAUGUUAUUACAAGUUAAUUUUUCUGAUAACAAUUGUUGGAAUAGGAUUCUUGUUGUAGUAUAAUUAUUAAACAUGAUUUUAUAAUUAAUGAUUCAUACAUUAAGUAAAAUAGAAACCAGGAUUUGAAAACUACCAUGUUAGUAAAAUCACUUGGAAGCAAAAGCUUAGAAUUAUCAUAUGGUGUGAAAACCGGAAAGUUCUAUGAAAACGGGAAAGUUCUAUGAAGAGAGAUGAAAUUUUCUGAAGUUCAACUGAAAUGAUUGCAAGAUUUAAUCCAACAAUGCAAGAACAUAUUUGACAUAUUAAAACUGAUGAAAAAUUCUUUAUCAUUUUCUUGGAGGUGAUCAAAGUAUUUUUGAAUUAUACUUGAUUGUACUCCAAAUGUAAGACGAAAAAGAAAUCUCUUUUAAUGUGGUUAUUCCAAAAUGGCAGAAUCUACUAUUUUGAAUCAAAGUAUAUCAUUAGAACAAGAAGGAGAGCCAAGGACAUUUUAUUUUGAGAACUACCUGAUAGAGUGCUCCAUUCUUGACAUAGUACCGGCCUUCGUCGUCAUGCCACAGAAUCUGAUCUUCUUUGAGGAAAUGAAUGCUUUGAUGGAAGAAGAUCUUGAGCAAGAAAAAGGCCAGCAUGGAAGAGAGAUGAAGAAAAUCUCCAAUUAUGCAAAUAUGGUCUGAUUGGCCUGUAAGAUAACUAACCAAACUAAUCACUACUUUCAAUCUCAAUCAAAUUCCAAAAACAAUCUAUUUUCUAUUCAAACUCAGGUGGUGAUCGGCUAAAUAAAUUUGUUUGAAAACUACCGAACAAAGCUCUAGGGAUAUAGUACAUUGUUUAUUGAAAUUGAAUACGUAGACAGAAAUAUAAGAGCAUCUUGUUGAAAUUUGUUUGAGAUGUAGUGAUUGAUUUGGUAUAACAUAUGUAUCCAUGUCCAGGAUGAAGCUUGGCCGAAACUAAGUAGGUUAGAAUAAUAUGAGCUGACUUUCAAUCUAUGCCAUUGAUUCAAUGACUUUAGAUAUGUCCGUGAUAUAAACUAUUAAAAUAAUUAAAAUUAUGUAUUUUAUUUCUUUAAUUUUAUGGUAUUAGUUAAUUUUGAACUAGUCAAAAGUAGUUGCACUUAUUUUGUGGAACUACAUGUAAUUAGUGGAGAAUUAUGUGAGAACGUGCUUAGUGUCACUAAUUUUUAGGUUGUAAUCCUAAAUAAGCUUUAUUAUAUAAAGCUUGAUGUUAUUCAAUAAAAAGUAUCAUAAGUUUAUUAUUUUGGCAACAUAAAAGUUGUAAUUGGGAGUUUAUUGGUUUCUCGAAUAACCAAUACUUAUUUGGAGAUUUGGAUUUGUUCGAAUUAACCCCAUUUAUCAUCUAAUUUUUCUAUUUCAUUUGAUUUCUUCUUAUAAACUUUAGUGCUCGUAUCAGUCCACAACUCAUCAUGCUGAUAAUGUCCUAUCUGUGACUUGUAAAAUUUCUCUUAUGAGUAUUACAUAAGCUGUUAUGAAAGAGCCUUUAUUAGAGGAGUUGAUUCUGUCUCAUGGAUGGCAAAUAACUCAGCGACGCUUUUGAGUCCUCAAAGUGAUGGUUCUCAUUGUUGGACCUUCUUCAGCACUGCAGCUUACGGGAAAGGAAACAAGGUUCCACUGGUCAGUUUGUUUGUAAAUGCAUGUCUUGUUAAAUACUUAUGAUUAUAUGCUGGCAUUGUCACACUUUUCUAACCAAUAGGCUAGGCCUCUAGUUGAAUUCAUUCAUCCUUCAGCUUGCAAUCUCAAGCUAUUGAAACGUGGUUUUUUUUUACCGCAUAUUUAUAUAGAGUUUGCAAUAAGAUUAGCUUUAUCUUCCCUUUUGUACUUGAAUCAAUAUGACAUUUCAAAUUUUACAGCAAAAUUAUGUGCUGCGUUGAUAUGUAUAUGUUGCAAUUUAGGCUUUUUGCAAGAUUUUUACGAUUGUUUUCAUAAUUUAUUAGGAAAAUAUGCCAACUGCAACAGCAUCGAAGGUGAAAACAGGUAUGCUCGAGGGUGUUGGAGCCGUUGCUUGGCCUGCCGAUAGGUCUUGUCGGAAGCCCAUUUAUACUUGAGUCCAAUUAUGGUAAGGAUCCACUUUUAUGGACAUGACCUUGCAAUUUCAUUUAUAUCAUGUCCCAUUUGGAUCCCUUGUGACCUACUUGGGCAGUAACCAUUUGCUGUUGCUUUACAAUGAUUGGUUCACUUGGGCAAGCAUCAAGUAUAAUAUUAAAACAUAGGUAACAAACAAGAUUAGGCUCAACUCGAAUUCUUCAAACUAGUGAGAUAAGACCCUGCAAAACCUGAGUUUGUCAACCACAGCGAUGUUGGAAAUAUUCAGGUUCUUUUUACUGUGCUUUGUUGUAUAUAUCAGGCGAAUAUGGCUCGGGAGGACAAAUGGGAUAAGACCCUGCAAACCAAAUAUAUGAGGCAAGCCCAAGAACAAAUGACAGCUAUAGUCUCUUUGUUUGCAUUUGGGAAAUAGUACACGAAACAAUAGUCUCUUCGUUUGCAUAUUUUUCCAACUCGCUGUAAUUUGUAUAUACAUUGUGGGGUUUAAAAAGUUCUCAAACUGAAAAAAGAAAUCAUGCGUUGAUUUAAUUGUAUAUGUCUUUGUUCGUCUUUUAUUGUAAUUCUGAUUAAGAUUAAAUUUGUAAAUCAAAUAAAUUACUGUAUGUUAAAUAUUUGUUUUUCCUUUUUCCAAUUUUAAGGAUGGAACUUUGAUUACUUAUAGAAUGACAAUCACAUGGAAUUAUCAAUGAGCACCCAUGAGCCGUAUAUCAAAAUUCAAUAGCCCCAGAGCCAAUUAUAAUUUUUCUCAUUGAUAUCUAUUGCUUUUGGGUCUGGGGGUGUUUGAUGUUGAUUGCCGGGAUUGUCAUUGAUAUCUAUUGUUUGAUGCUGAUUGCUCUGGGGCUGUUGAAUUUUUUUGCCCUUUUUUUUUUCAUUCCACACAUCCUAAUAUGCGCACAAAAGAUAUCAAUGAUAUUAAUGACAAUAUCAUAUAUCAAAAUUCAACAGCCCCAGAGCAAUCAGCAUCAAACAAUAGAUAUCAAUGACAAUCCCGGCAAUCAACAUCAAACACCCCCAGACCCAAAAGCAAUCGAUAUCAAUGAACACCCAUGAGCCAUGAAUAAUAUCAAUAAAUUCCUUGGUUGAAACCUCGAAGAAACCCAGAAACCCUUCAAUUCAAACCUCAAAAAAUGUGCCCCGGAUAUAACUCAUAUCAGCGCUCUGUUUUCUGGGAUGAGGAUAAAAACCUCGUUCAUUUCAAGAACCCUCUUCCAUCAGGGAUGAAGAAAGAGGAUGUGAAGGUUGAGAUUGAUGAAGAUGGGAAAUUGCUUAUAGAAACAAGCAAAGGGGUAAGGUCACAUAUUGAUCCUCUCUCUUCAGCUUCUUCCUCGAUGAUCAGAUUCGGAUCCUCUUUCCUAAGCUUCUCGAAGAAAAAUGAAGGAGACACCGCCAGCCCGAUAAUGUCGAUGAAAUUCAACUUCCCAGCAGGUCUUGACCCGAAAGGCUUCAAGACUGCAAUCGAUGACGAGGGGUUGCUGACUCUCACUUUUAAAAAGCUCGUUGCCAUUCAUUCCGAAACGCCCUUCGACCUCAAAAACGACUCCGAGUGGGUGACUGCUAAAGAGAACAACAAGGACAUUGUUCACUUCAAGGCCAAUUUGGCAGCGGGCACGAAGAUGGGGGAUGUGAUGGUUGGUAUAGCAGGUGGUAAUUCCCUUAUCAUAGGUUUGCUGAAGAAAGAGGAAGGGGACACCAAUAUUCUCAAGCGGUUCCAUGGCAACAACUGUUGGAUCUCCGUUUUGCCAGAUGGUGCGAACCCGGAUGGCUUCAAGGAUGCAAUGGAUGAUGCCGGCCUUCUAACUGUCACCUUCACUAAACUGAAGCCAGAGAAGAAGAAGCUGAUGCCAAGCCCAAAGAAGAUACUGGGAUAUUUGGCCUGCUUGUUUGCUGAUAGGUUGCAGGAUAGGUGAUGAGAUGAGUUCAGGAGACUACUAGUAAGCUGGUGUCAAGUAGAUAUUUCCUUCAUGUUCAUGUGUUUUGUUCUGUCGUUUAUCUUUAGCGUUUGAAAGAAACUCUGGACGUCUAGACCAGGUGUUCGUUAAUUUCUGUGUUUGCGUGGUGUUGUAUCUCCUUUGUGUCAGUGAAAUAGAAAGGGCUUUGUCUAAUAAAAAAUGAUAAACGCUGUUGAGCGAAAAAUAAAUGCAUUUUUUUUUUUUUAAUCGUGUUGAAUAUUAAAAAAAAAAAACAAGGCCUGUUUUCAUGCAUACGUGCAGCCACAAGAUAAAGGAGUAACUGGAGAUCGGUCAGGUGAGCCAAUCAUGCUACAGAAUCUGCAAUCUGUGUAUAAAAGAAUUAAAAAGACAAAAAAAAAAAAAAAAAAACUGCUAGCGGUUGGUUACUUUUUUUAUUUAUAAAUGAGUACAUCGGUAAUGGUAUCGGGCCAAUGCUCGAGCCAGAGCCCCACUUUUCUCCUUUAAUAAUCGCUCAUUUCACUAUUUCAGCGCAAUAGAGGGUAGGGUGAUGCUAAGUUACAGUAUUUGUACCUUACAGCCACCUUAGUACAGAAAAACAAAAAGCGGACACAAGUGGGGUUCAUGGUCACUUUGUGAGGGUGCUGUAAGGUACAGAUACUGUACCGUAGCAUUCUCCGAGAGAGUAAAGGCAACUUUUGAAGAUAAGAACGAGAUGACAGAGAAAAUAAAACGACCCAUGUGAUUAUCAGUCCAUAGAAAUCUACACCAAAUUCUCAGGUCUCCGCAGUGACGCGCACACAAAUAUUUCAAGAUUAUGGCAACUUCUGCAACUCAUUCCUUUGAGCUUCAAGGUGGCCAUCGAAAAAAUAACUGGGUAAUAUGACACAACAAAGAUUUACCUUCACCGAACUGAAGCCGGAGAAAAAGGCGGUGUCAAGAUCAAAGAAGAUGCCGCGAGGUUUGGCUGAAGCAGUGCCUGUUUGUAUCUUGAUAGGUUACUAGAUAAGUUGGGGAGACUACUAAUUAGCUGGUGGCAGGUAAGGUAUUUGCUAACAUCAUGUUCCAAAAUGCAAAAUCCUGUAUAGUUUGCUAUUGGAAAAUAGGAAAAAAGGAAAAAAAGAUAUCUAGUUUUACAUUCUACCAUUACAAUGGAUUAGGAAUGGUGAAGAAUCUCAUUUGGUACAGGGCAACCUUUUCAAAAUGCAAAAUCCUGUAUAGUUUGUUGAUAUAUAUAUAUAUAUUUUUUUUUUUCUUUUGUGGGAUACUAGAACUUCAGAAAGAUUGGAAAACUUCAUAAAAUUUCAUACAGAUUUUUUCACUCUAAAUUUUGAGAAAAUGAUAGCUAGAUUACAACUAAGAUUAAUAGCAACUCUCAGCUGCAAACAACUAGAAGGCUGGUACUAAAUGCCAAUUUUGAAAUAGAACAUGAAGCCGUAAGUUCCCAAGUAGUGGAAGGAGCCCAAGGCUCUGAUCAUGUGCCCGUUGAAGAAUGAGCCGGCAAAUCCUAAGCAGUGGCUUGGUUAGGGAAAGCCACCGAAAUGAGUCUCCAUUGGGCAAUUGCCACUACUUAUGUACCCAAACAUGGGUGAUCUAUCCCUGACCAGGAUGAAGCUUGGGCGAAACUGAGUAGGUUAGAAUAAUAUGAGCUGACUUUCAAUCUAUGCCAUUCAUUCAAUGACUUUGGAUAUGUCCACAACUCAUCAUCUUGAUAAUGUCCUAUCAGUGUCUUGUAAACUUCUCUUAUGAGUAUUAAAUAGGUUGUUAUGAAAGAAUUGAAAUCAUCUUUAUAAAUGUAACGACCAGAUAGGGUUCUAGACCUAGAAGAUGAGGUUAUGUUUGUUUCCUUUCUGUUUCUUGUUGAUUGUAGACUGUUUAUUGCUUGUGGCUGCUAUUUACAGUUUGGCUUUGUGCUGUGGUAAUGGUUCCCUAAUGUAAUGGGAGGAAAAUUUUCAAAUUGGCUGCUUGGUUCAUCUAGCUUACCUCUAAUAGCUAGACAAAACGAAGUUAUAUAUACUUUGAAAUAUUAAGUUUUUUUUGUAUUAUUAUCUGUUACAGAGCAUGGUCAGAGCUGUGAGGAUGAGCACACUUGAUAACUUGAUAGCUUACGUGUAAAAGAGUCAGUUAGCUGAGUCAGCUACUUGGUUAACCAAUUGGUUUAGCGUGUAUAGAAUAUAAAACAGAUUUAGUUUACAUUGUAACCAAGUAUAAAUAAAGAGCUGUAAGCACGAUUGUGUGGUUGAGUUUUAUUCAAUAAAUUCCAGAUUCUUCUUCAUAACUUUUCUUCGUUUUCUCAUUGUUUUUCUUACUCUCCAAACACAUAAUUACAGAUUCUUUCAUGGUAUCAGAGCAAUCAAUGAUGAGCUCGAAUCAAACCUCUGGAUCUUAUAGUUUUGUUACUCCUGUGAAACUCGACCAGAAUAACUUCAUUGUUUGGAGAACUCAGAUUUUAACAACGAUUAAAGGUAACAGGUUGGAGAGCUUUAUCAAUGGUGAUCGAGCCUGUCCAGAGCAAUUUCUUCCAUCAGCUGUCACUGGAGCUAUUGAUUCAACAAGAUCAAAGGAUUGAGAAAUUAAUCCAGAGUUUUUAGCUUAGGUGAAGACUGAUCAGUUGAUUCUGAGUUGGAUGAUGUCAUCAAUUCAACAAAAUUUGCUGGCAACGGUGAUUCAUUGCUCUACUGCUAAAGAGCUUCUGGACACACUUACUAGUAUGUUUAUCUCACAAUCUCAGGCUAGAAUAAUGCCUCUUAAAAUGCAGAUUCAAACACUUAAAAAAGGCUCAAUGUCAAUGAUUGAUUAUUUUGCUAAAAUGAAAAGGUUAUCUGAUAGCUUAGCUCUGGCUGGAAAACCUGUUGAAUUGAAUGAUUUUGUUCAAUAUGUUUUGACUGGAUUGGAUUCCUCAGAUUAUGAGUCUCUUGUUACGAGCGUCUUAGCUAGAGGUGACAAGAUUAAUCUUGAUGAGUUUUACUCUUUACUGUUAAGUCAUGAGAAUAGAGUUGAGCAGAAGAGAGGCAAAAUUGCUAGUGAUGUUACUCAUAAUUUGUCAGCUAAUAUGGCAUAAAAACAGUUUAAUUCUGGAAAAAAUGCUGGUGGUAAUCCAAGAUAUAAUAAUAAUAUAACUUAUGGUGGAGGUGUCUAUGGAAAUUUUGCUAAUGGAAAUGGUAUGGGACAAUCUGGUGAUGGUAAUUCAACUAUCAUUUGUCAAAUCUGUUUUAUACCGGGUCAUGGAGCUCACAAGUGCAAGAAUAGGUACAAUUCUGCUUUUGUACCUUCAAGGAAUCAAGCAAGAGGAAAUUUUAAUGGCAAUUUUAGGGCUGGUCAAAGGAAUUUUGGAAGGGGAUUUGGAAAUUCAGGUGGCAGAUUUUUUAAUGGUGCUUAUGGCAGAGGGUUUAAUUCUCAAUUUGGCAAUGUCUUUACUAAACAUAAUGCUGGAAAUUUCAAUUUGCCAAGAGGUCCAGGAUAUCAAAGCUAUGUGAUGUGCUCAGAUCCAGCUGCUUUUUAUGUUACUCAACCUGGUAGCUCCACUAAUGCAAGUUCUUCUGCUUCUGGUUUUGGUUUUACUGGAGAUUACAGUGGCUGCUCUCCUUCCGCACCCACAGUUCCUACUCCUGAGAUGGUUGAAGAUCCCACCUGGUACAUUGACAGUGGUGCAACUAAUCAUAUCACCAAUGAUGCAGGUAAACUUCUUGAACCAAAAUCUUAUAGUGGAAGUGAAAAGUUGCUUGUUGGUAAUGGUUCUUCUCUGCAUAUUAAACAAGUUGGAUCAGUAUUGCUAGCCACAACUACAUCUGAAUCUUUGUUGCUAAGUCAUGUUCUUUAUGUUCCUCAAAUAACAAUUCCAGAUUCUUCUUCAUAACUUUUCUUCGUUUUCUCAUUGUUUUUCUUACUCUCCAAACACAUAAUUACAGAUUCUUUCAUGGUAUCAGAGCAAUCAAUGAUGAGCUCGAAUCAAACCUCUGGAUCUUAUAGUUUUGUUACUCCUGUGAAACUCGACCAGAAUAACUUCAUUGUUUGGAGAACUCAGAUUUUAACAACGAUUAAAGGUAACAGGUUGGAGAGCUUUAUCAAUGGUGAUCGAGCCUGUCCAGAGCAAUUUCUUCCAUCAGCUGUCACUGGAGCUAUUGAUUCAACAAGAUCAAAGGAUUGAGAAAUUAAUCCAGAGUUUUUAGCUUAGGUGAAGACUGAUCAGUUGAUUCUGAGUUGGAUGAUGUCAUCAAUUCAACAAAAUUUGCUGGCAACGGUGAUUCAUUGCUCUACUGCUAAAGAGCUUCUGGACACACUUACUAGUAUGUUUAUCUCACAAUCUCAGGCUAGAAUAAUGCCUCUUAAAAUGCAGAUUCAAACACUUAAAAAAGGCUCAAUGUCAAUGAUUGAUUAUUUUGCUAAAAUGAAAAGGUUAUCUGAUAGCUUAGCUCUGGCUGGAAAACCUGUUGAAUUGAAUGAUUUUGUUCAAUAUGUUUUGACUGGAUUGGAUUCCUCAGAUUAUGAGUCUCUUGUUACGAGCGUCUUAGCUAGAGGUGACAAGAUUAAUCUUGAUGAGUUUUACUCUUUACUGUUAAGUCAUGAGAAUAGAGUUGAGCAGAAGAGAGGCAAAAUUGCUAGUGAUGUUACUCAUAAUUUGUCAGCUAAUAUGGCAUAAAAACAGUUUAAUUCUGGAAAAAAUGCUGGUGGUAAUCCAAGAUAUAAUAAUAAUAUAACUUAUGGUGGAGGUGUCUAUGGAAAUUUUGCUAAUGGAAAUGGUAUGGGACAAUCUGGUGAUGGUAAUUCAACUAUCAUUUGUCAAAUCUGUUUUAUACCGGGUCAUGGAGCUCACAAGUGCAAGAAUAGGUACAAUUCUGCUUUUGUACCUUCAAGGAAUCAAGCAAGAGGAAAUUUUAAUGGCAAUUUUAGGGCUGGUCAAAGGAAUUUUGGAAGGGGAUUUGGAAAUUCAGGUGGCAGAUUUUUUAAUGGUGCUUAUGGCAGAGGGUUUAAUUCUCAAUUUGGCAAUGUCUUUACUAAACAUAAUGCUGGAAAUUUCAAUUUGCCAAGAGGUCCAGGAUAUCAAAGCUAUGUGAUGUGCUCAGAUCCAGCUGCUUUUUAUGUUACUCAACCUGGUAGCUCCACUAAUGCAAGUUCUUCUGCUUCUGGUUUUGGUUUUACUGGAGAUUACAGUGGCUGCUCUCCUUCCGCACCCACAGUUCCUACUCCUGAGAUGGUUGAAGAUCCCACCUGGUACAUUGACAGUGGUGCAACUAAUCAUAUCACCAAUGAUGCAGGUAAACUUCUUGAACCAAAAUCUUAUAGUGGAAGUGAAAAGUUGCUUGUUGGUAAUGGUUCUUCUCUGCAUAUUAAACAAGUUGGAUCAGUAUUGCUAGCCACAACUACAUCUGAAUCUUUGUUGCUAAGUCAUGUUCUUUAUGUUCCUCAAAUAACCAAAAAUUUACUUAGUGUCUCAAAACUUCUAGCUGAUAAUAAUGCUACUAUUGAAUUUCUUGAAAAUUGUUGUUUUGUUAAGGCCAGGAGCUUAGGGACCAUCUUGCUUAAAGGAAUUGCAAAAGGAGGAUUGUAUCAAGUCCAAAUUGCAUCCCAAUCUUCUGAUGAUAGCCCAGUUUCAUUUUGUCAAUCUUCUGUCAAUCACUUUGAAUCUAUGUUUGCUUAUUUUCCUUCUUUGUCUUGUAAUGGUUCUGCUGUCCAGAAUAAUCCUUCCCUUGUCAGUAAUAACUUAUGUAAGUCAGCCCUGAUAGUUAAUGCAAGCACUGCUGACAUCAAUUUGCUUCACAAAAGGCUAGGACAUCCGGCUUUUCAUACUCUAAAAAAUGUAUUGAAGGAUUGUACUGACUUUUCCUUGAAUAAAAUCAAACACUUGAGUUUCUGUAAUGCUUGUCAAUUUGGUAAAAGUCAUCUGUUACACUUUGAUUCUGUUCCAACAAAAACAGUAGAGCCUCUUCAACUCUUAUAUGCUGAUCUUUGGGGUCCUUCUCAUGUUACUUCAACUCAGGGUUAUUCCUAUUAUUUUUCCAUUCUAGAUGAUUUCAGUAGGUUUACAUGGAUCUUUCCCUUGACUGCUAAAUCUGAUGCUCUUCAAGUGUUCAUAAACUUCAAAAACUUCAUUGAAAAACACUUGCAUAGGCAUAUCAAAACUGUCCAGACAGAUUGGGGAAUGGAAUUUAGAAGUUUCUCCAUAUAUCUUGAUCAAUUUGGUAUUCAAUUCCGACAUCCUUGUCCUCAUAUUCAUCAUCAAAAUGGUAGAAUAGAAAGAAAACAUAGGCACAUUGUGGAUAUUGGCCUCACUUUGUUAGCCCAAACAAGUUUGCCACUAAAAUUCUGGUGGAAUGCUUUUCACACAGUUGUGUUUCUCAUCAAUAGAUUACCUACACCAACCUUGAAUAAUAUUUCACCUUAUCAAAAAAUCUUUCAUCAAAAACCAGAUUACAAUUUUCUUAGAACCUUUGGUUGUGCUUGUUAUCCGUACCUCAGGCCAUAUAAUAGGCACAAACUUGAGUUUAGAUCAGGUAGAUGUGUCUUCAUUGGGUACAGCUCUCAACAUAAAGGGUACCAAUGUCUUCAUUCUUCUGGUAGGGUGUACAUCACCAAUCAUGUCAUCUUUGAUGAAAACUCCUUUCCAUAUGUGCCUGGCUCAUACUUUUCUUCUGUCACACAAUCAUGUAAUUCAAAUGAUACAGUUUCCCAUUCGUCCACUAUCUCUACUCCUAUCUUUACUCAUUUUCCAGCACUGCAAUCUCCUCUACAAUCCUCUUCAGCAAGUGGUUCCUCCGAGUUUUCAACAACAAUUCCUAGCCAGGUAAAAUCCCCUUAUUCUUCUUCUCAUACACCACAAAUGUCUGAUAUACAACCUUUAAAUGAUACUCAAUCACCACCACAUAUAAUACCUGCUGCACCACUAAUAGGACAUUCUAUGAUCACCAGAUCUAAAGCUGGCAUUUUUAAGCCAAAGUCUUAUCUUGCUGCUCUUUUAGCCACACUCUCAAAACCUACCUCUGUUUCCCAAGCAAUCACUGAUCCAAAAUGGUUUUAAGCAAUGCAUGAGGAGUAUCAAGCACUUCAAAACAAUCAUACCUGGGUUUUAGUACUACCAUCAACACCUGUCAAAGUAAUUGGCGGCAAGUUGGUUUUCAGAAUUAAAUAUAACUCGGAUGGAACCAUUUCUAGAUACAAAGCAAGACUUGUGGCAAAAGGUUUCCAUUAGACACAUGGAAUAGAUUAUACUGAAAGCUAUAGUCCAGUUGUGAAAGCUUCCGCAGUUAGAAUAGUUUUGAGUUUAGCUGUCAUGAACAAAUGGAUCCUCAGACAGGUAGAUGUAAACAAUGCAUUCUUGAAUGGUUUUUUGGUUGAAGAUGUGUAUAUGGUCCAGCCUGAAGGAUUUGUUGAUCCUACAAAGCCUACUCAUGUAUGCAAACUCAAGAAGGCCAUCUAUGGAUUAAAGCAAGCCCCCCGAGCAUGGUUUGACAGAUUCAAGAAUGCUAUGGUAGAUCAGUGUGGUUUUUUAAACUCUAAGUCUGACAGCUCUCUCUUCUAUAAGUGGGAAAAUAAUCAUAUCUUGCUUGUCUUAGUAUAUGUUGAUGACAUAAUUGUUACUGGAUCUAACUACCAACUAGUGCAGCAAGUAAUUCAUAAUAUGCAGACUACUUUUGCCUUGAAGGAUUUGGGGGAGUUAAGCUAUUUUCUUGGGAUUGAAGUCUCUAAGACAGCAGCUGGAGUUCAUCUAUCUCAAGCCAAAUAUAUAGCUAAUCUCUUCGCAAAACAUGAUAUGGCAAGUUGCAGUCCAGUUCCUACUCUUAUGUCCACAGGGCAUCAUCUCACAAAAGGUUCAGGCUCACCUAUUUCGAAUGCAUCUUAGUACAAAAGUAUAAUUGGGGCCUUGCAGUAUGUGACUCUAACAAGACCUGAGAUAGCAUUCUCAGUUAACAAACUAAGUCAAUUUCUAUCUUUACCAAUGAUAGAACAUUGGGAAGCAUGGAAAAGACUUUUGAGGUAUUUGAAGGGAUCCAUUCAUUUUGGCUUGCAUUUUUAUCAUUGUGGAACUUUACAAGUGAACUGUUAUAGUGAUUCUGAUUGGGCAUGUGACAAAGACGAUAGAAAAUCAGUAGCUGGGUAUGCAGUGUAUCUUGGUUCGAAUUUAGUUUCAUGGUGUUCUAAGAAACAACAAGUGGUUUCAAGGUCCAGUACUGAAGCUGAGUACAGAGCCUUAGCUCAAGCUACAUCUGAAGUUGUUUGGAUUGAAAAUCUGCUUAGUGAGUUGAAAAUCAAACUUGUUGCAGAACCUAUUAUGUGGUGUGAUAAUCAAGGUGCCAUAGCUUUGGCUUACAAUCCAGUUUAUCAUGCUAAAACUAAGCAUGUUGAAUUGGACAUUCACUUUAUCAGGGAGAAAAUAGCGGCCAAAAAGAUUGAAGUGCAAUUUGUUCCAAGUGAGGAUCAAACUGUAGAUAUACUUAUCAAGCCAUUAACUUUUGACCGCUUCCAUUAUCUUCGCAGCAAGCUAAAUGUCCAUCCUGGACAGUUUAGCUUGAGAGGGGAUGUUACAGAGCAUGGUCAGAGCUGCGAGGAUGAGCACACUUGAUAACUUGAUAGCUAACGUGUAAAAGAGUCAGUUAGCUGAGUCAGCUACUUUGUUAACCAAUUGGUUUAGCGUGUAUAGAAUAUAAAACAGAUUUAGUUUACAUUGUAACUAAGUAUAAAUAAAUAGUUGUUAUCUAGCACAUGUUUUAUUCAGUAUCAGCCAUUUAUAAAUUAUUUCAAAGAUUCAUGGUGCAUUUUCCUGGUUUGCAGAGGCUAGAACUAGGUUUUAUAUCGGCCCUUCUUGUCGCAUUUGAGGAUCCCCUUCAACUAGGCAGUGACAUUUGAAGGAGCUUUUAUUAGAGGUGUUGAUUCUGUCUCAUGGAUGGCAAAUAACUUAGUGAAGCUUUUGAGUUCUCAAAGUGAUGGUUUUUCAUUGUUGGACCUUCUUCAAACUAGUGAUACUGGAAUUUUUUGUUUCUGAGUUUGUCAACCACAUCCAUGUUGGAAAUAUUCAGGUUCUUUUUGUUGUGCUUUGUUGUAUAUAUCAGGCGAAUAUGGUUCGAGAGGACAAAUGGGAUAAGACCCUGCAAACCAAAUAUACGAGGCAAGCCCAAGAACAAAUGAGAGCCAUAGUCUCUUUGUUUGCAUUUGAGAAAUAGUACACGAAACAAUAGUCUCUUCGUUUGCAUAUUUUUCCAACUUGCUGUAAUUUGUAUAUACACUGUGGGGUUUAAAAAGUUCUCAAACUGAAAAAAGAAAUCAUGCGUUGAUUUAAUUGUAUAUGCCUUUGUUCUUCUUUUAUUGUAAUUUUGAUUACGAUUAAAUUUGUAAACUGCAUUGAGGAAUUUUAUCGAGACUUUUGAGAAGUGCGAGAAGAAGCUCACACCUACAGAGGGGUGCCGGUUGUCCCACCUCGUCGAAGGGAUGUUAAAGAUUUUUAAUGGGCUAAGCCAACAUGGCCCUCUUAGAUAUUUUGGGCUUUUACCAACAAGUUCCUGGUCACACCCCUCAAACCUCCUUAUCAAACCUUUUUUUUUUAAAUAAAAAUAAAAUCACUAAAUAACUAAAUACAAUUUAAUUUCUUUCUUUAUUUUUAAAUGAAAAUUUAAUUAUAUAUUUAAAUAAAUUGUUAUUUUAACAAAUAUUUUAUUCCUGCCCCAUUUUAUAAUUAUAUUUUGAUUUCAAUAACUCGAUAUAUCAACACACGAUUUUCAAGUUCUUUUAUUUUGACUCGCCAAUCAAUAGGAGGCUGAGAUACUGUUUUUGAUGACCUCAUUACACAUAGAUUGCAGAGUUUGUUGAGAUUGCACGAAUUUGCAAUGAUAAUGUUGUCUUUUUAGCCACUGUGAUAGUGUUUCUGAUGACUUCCGUUCCCUGACAGCAUUGAAACAUUUAGAUGACAUCCUUGAAGGGGAGAAAUUUUCAAGAUUCUCAAGGAGGAAUUUUUUUAGCAGCUUAAAUGGAUUUUUAAAAGCCUCAGAUCAAAUGAAAUGUUCAUUGAAUUGGAUGAAACUACAAUUAAGGUAAAUACGAGCAAGAGAUGCUGCCUUUACUAAAACAUUCCGGUAUGAUAAAAAUUGUUACAAAAACUUUUUAACUUUUGUAACAAACAAUCAAUGGUCCAGGUUACAUCAAAACUAAAAUAAAGAAGCACAACAAAUUCUAUACACAAUUUGUCUUGAAGUCCCUUGCUGAGUCACCAUGCUUACAACAGUGUCGAUCUUUUUAUUUCAAGCUCUUUCUUCUUGAUGCUUUGAUAUCAGCCAUUGGAUCACUGGGUGAUGGUUGUCGAAGCCAGCAAAAAUAAAUACCUACUCUAAAUAAAUUGUGUAUAGUGAUUGAGCAGGGUCGUGUCCACAGAGAUCGGUAAUUAUUUAAAUCCUUUUGAAACGUAAAACGUAAAAUGAGAGAAUUGUUGACAAUAAUAAAAAUCAAAUUAAAAUAACAAGAAUGUAAAUUAAAGUUGUAAUUCAAAUUGGAAAAAGCUCUAGUUGAAGGAAAUAACUCAGCUUGAUUCUACUACUCAUCAUUGAUUCAAAUAUAAAUUAUUACUACUUAUGAAUAGACCAGUUAUAGCUACUGAGACCCUCUAAUAGUUAAUCUCUCCUUAACUAGUCGAUAACCAAGGUACGACCGUUGGUUAUUUCCCUAAUCAAUAGACAACCCUAGAUACGAUCAUAGGAUUUAAUCAAUUGACAGCCUGAAAAACCAGAUAGACCCAAAUCCUAAUAAACAAACACAUACGAUAGUUUAUUUAAAUUAGAUUGUUUAUUCUCACAACACAACUCUCUGCUAUGUUAUUUGUCACAAAUAUUAAAAUCUUCAUACGAUGAAUCCUUUAAUUGACAAUAGAUUAAGUUGUUAAUUAAAUAGUGGCCAAUUACCUAAUUAACAAACAUAAUCAUGAAAAUAAUUCAGAGAAUAAACAAAUACCCAAAAAGUAAUAAAACAAUUAAAGCAUAAGAAAGAUCUUACAAUAGUGAUGAAUCAAAGCUUCAUUAACCUUCAACCAGAAUAAUAGGUUUAGUUCUUCAUAGAGAGAAGAGAAAAAUUUAGAUCUAGGGUUUCUUUCUUUUUCUCCAAUCCCUCUUUUUCACAAUAAAUUCCUCCCUUAAAUACUCUCUCUUUAUUCUCCUCUAGAAUUCUAUUUAAAAUAAAAUACUAAUAUCUGAAAUAUUAAAUUCGUAAUUACAAAAAUACAAAACACGUUAAACUAAAAACUGCAUGUCCGUAGUUGACAGCACGCGCCCACGUCUUAUCAACAAAGUUCUUCUGACGCUCAUAAUUUCUCCAAGAGAACAAUCAUCCUUAAACAUCAUCUUAUAACUCAAUUUUAGCACCAAUCAAUAGAAUUGCACCUAUAAAAAUAAAACACAAGUAAAUCACUAUUAUUAAGUGCAAAAUAUCGAUAUUAAGGGAAGUAAACAAUGCAAAACUAAUGCAUAAAUUGCACUCUAACAAAUUCCCCAACACCAAGACGAUGCUUGUCCUCAAGCAUAUAACUCAAGACUAAUCUCAAAUCUCCACUAAAUUCUCAUCUCAACUCAUCCAAAAACAAUUUUAAGCAAGCAUACCUCAAGAAAUUAAGUCGAUCAACAUUUGAGAGACAAGGAUUUUAAAGCAUAGAAUCUCAUAAGAUAGAAUAAGAACAUUCAACCACCAAGAAGAUCCAUUCAAAAUUCAAGUGCAACAAGAUUUCAUAGCCCUCUCAUUGACUUCACUCCAUGCACUCAAAGUGUUUAUGGUGUCAUUUAUGCACUCAAAUCAAAUCAAAGAAUACUAUUACCAUAAGCUUGCUUAUAUAUCACAUCCCAAUCCACAAAACAUGAAUUAAAUGCAAAAAUCUAAGGGUCUUAAAAAGGUUGUAACGGGGUUAAAUGGGUUAAAUGAAAAAGAAAGGUCUAUGAAAGAAAAAGAGAUCAAAAUGAAAAGAAUGAACUCAUUGAAUGAACUUUAUGAUAUCGAAACGCUUAUUUCUACUCAAGUCACCAAGAAUGUAUUUUUUUCUUUUUUUUUCGACUUUUUUUCUUUUCUUUUUCCUUUUUUUUUUAAUCAAACAAAAGAAACGAACCUUGCACAAUUUAAUUCAAGCAUAAUGCUUGUUGAUCUAAUUGAGAAAUUUUAAUACAAGGUAGAAAAAGCAACAAAAUAUAUACAAAAUAUAUCCACACAAUGAGUCCAAAAAUCUCCUUAAAUUGAGGCUCAAAAAGAAGAAAAAUUAUUAAGUAGACGGAGAGAAUUAGAUGGGUAAUGGUUAAGGCUCAAACAAAGAUAGCAAAUAAAGGUCUUCGGGUAGAGAAAAAAAAAAUGCGAGAAUAGAAAAAUGGAAAAUGGUUUGCCCUUAUCAUUUUAAUGCAUAAAAUCCCGUAAUGCGGCUUCAACAUGCAUAAGAAAGCAAGUUCUAGAAUAAACAAACUAAGAUUGAUAUUCACAUAACAAAAAUAUUAGAGCAAAGUGGUUGCUCGUAGGCUCAAAUCCUCACAAAGUUGGUAAAUUUGCCAUCAAAUCAUGUACACUCUUCAAAUGAAUCAACCAUCAAUAGUGGUUUGGAAUGAGAAGAAGGUAUGAGUAAUAUAUAAAAGGAAAGGUAAAAAGGAUAAUAAGCGAGAAAGAUGUAUGUAGUAAAAAAAAUGAAAGAUAAAAUGUGAGUGAUGAAAGAGUAUGAUAGAAAAAAUAGAUGUAAAUAAUUUGAGAUAGAUGAGAAAAGAGUAGUGAGAAAGAAAAGAAAAGAAAAAUAAUAAUAUAUGAAGCAUACUAACUCCAAAAUCAUUUAAGGAUGAGUAGAGUGAAAAUAAUACUUCCAGACAUCAAUCAUGCAAAAAUUCCUCCCCCACACCCAGACCUUACAUUGUCCUCAAUGUAAGAUAAUCAAAGCUCACAUAAAAAUUAAAGCAUAAGGAUAAAAGAUUAAAGGUAAAAACUUCCCUGAAUUGUGAGCUUUGAUCCACAUAACGUCUAUGGGCUUGGCGGAAAUGGUGGGAUAAAUCCCACACUCUCGAAGUAUGCGGCCAAAUUCUGCUCAAUCAUGUUAAGCUUGUGGUCUAUUUUCUCUAAAUGAAUGCUCAAAGGUGGUGCGGAUGUAGAAUGAAUAGUUGGCGGGGCAGUAGUGUCGUCGUCAAGCUCGUCAUCAGAGGUAGCACCACUCCUAGCAUAAAGCUUUUUUGGAGGUUGAGUUGGUCAUGGUUCAGUAAACUGAAAUCUCCCCUCCUUGAAUUCGACCACACCUGUUCUUUCAAACACAAACAUAUCCAAAAAUUCCUUUUUGCAAGUAGGAUGCAAAUCAUUAUUGUCAGGAUCAAGCACACAUAGGUUUAUAGCUAACAGAGUAAUGUAUGGACCAAGAAAUAAAGUCCUAUACUGUUUAAGCACACUUUGAAAUUGAUCUGCUAACCAAAAACCUAAAUUAGGCCUCACAUCAUUUAACAUGCACCAGAUAAAAUAAAAUUCAGUUUUAGAGAAAACUCCUGAGUGAUCUUUCUUUCCUAAAAAAUUAUAUGCUAAGAAUCGAUGCACACAUUUCAAAACAGGAUCACGUAAGAAAUAACUCUUUGAUUUACUCGGGUCAUAGGCAUUGUGAUCAAAAGAUAGAUUACGCCAAAGACCAUAAGGCUCAAAAUUUUCGCUAAAGUCACAAGUUGUUCCUAAAUAUUCAUCACUAGUAGAAUAAUCAUCAUCAAUGAAUCCUAAAGCUAGGUUAAAAUCCGUGAUAGAGUGUGAAAAAUUUCAUCCCANNNNNNNNNNNNNNNNNNNNNNNNNNNNNNNNNNNNNNNNNNNNNNNNNNNNNNNNNNNNNNNNNNNNNNNNNNNNNNNNNNNNNNNNNNNNNNNNNNNNNNNNNNNNNNNNNNNNNNNNNNNNNNNNNNNNNNNNNNNNNNNNNNNNNNNNNNNNNNNNNNNNNNNNNNNNNNNNNNNNNNNNNNNNNNNNNNNNNNNNNNNNNNNNNNNNNNNNNNNNNNNNNNNNNNNNNNNNNNNNNNNNNNNNNNNNNNNNNNNNNNNNNNNNNNNNNNNNNNNNNNNNNNNNNNNNNNNNNNNNNNNNNNNNNNNNNNNNNNNNNNNNNNNNNNNNNNNNNNNNNNNNNNNNNNNNNNNNNNNNNNNNNNNNNNNNNNNNNNNNNNNNNNNNNNNNNNNNNNNNNNNNNNNNNNNNNNNNNNNNNNNNNNNNNNNNNNNNNNNNNNNNNNNNNNNNNNNNNNNNNNNNNNNNNNNNNNNNNNNNNNNNNNNNNNNNNNNNNNNNNNNNGCAGUGGGUAGUUCGCGCUGGUGGGGCUUGCGUUGCGCGUUGCUGGGGCUGCGUGGCGGGUGGGACUGAUGCAUUGGGGCUGGUUCUGCGUGGCUGCGGCUGCUGCUGCUGCGUGGGCUGGUCGGUGAAGCUGGAGAAGAAAACCAAUUUUGUGCAUUAGGGAUUUUGUUAAUAGUAUUUUUCAUUUUUUUUUUUUUUAGUGAUGAAUCACUUUGAGACACUAAAAAUUUCAAAAGUACUUUUCUAAUAAGCACGUGGAUACGCCUUAAAACUAUUUUACUUUAAAAAUUACAGAAGUACUUAUUAGUUAAGACGUGGGCACGCCUUAUCAAAAAUUUUCUUCUGACCAAAAUAAGCAAACAUAUAAUUAUUUUUUUUAAAAAAAUUUGAAUCAAAACUAAAAGAAGACAUAACAAAAACCAAAAUAAAUAAAUCAUUUGGGUUGCCUCCCAAAAAGCGCCUUUGUUUUAUGUCUUUGGCUUGACACAUUUAUACAUCAAUCUCUAUAAUUGGGACUCUCGAGAGCCACAUUCUCCACAAUAUCCAUCGAAAAACCUUCAUAAAAAGGUUUUAAGCGAUAACCAUUAACCUUAAAAACUUUGCCAGAGGUCGGACUCCGAAUCUCAACUGCACCAUGAGGAAAAACAUUAGUAACAAUAAAAGGUCCAACCCAGCAAGAACGUAAUUUACCCGGAAAAAGUUUAAGCUUAGAAUGAAAAAGAAGAACUUUUUGACCAAAAUUCAUGCACUAUAUGGUUAAUAACAUCCACAAAAAAUACCGAAUGUUCCUCAUUAGGAUAUUUCAUGGCAUCAUUCAUAUUGAAUUCUAUAACCUCUCCAUCAAACUCCAUAGUGAGAGUCCCUUUAUGUACAUCCAUUUUAGUCCUAGCAGUUUUAAGAAAAGGUCUUCCUAGCAAAAUUGGGACAGAAUUAGAGGAGUUAUCAUCUUCCAUAUCAAGUACAUAAAAAUCAGCAGGAAAAACCAACUCAUUAACUUGUACGAAGACAUCUUCUAAUACCCCAUCAGGAUAUGCAUUAGACCUAUCAACUAGUUGAAUUAUCACGCCAGUUUCUUUUAAUGGACCAACAUUCAAAGAUGAAUAAAUGGAACGAGGCAUGACAUUAAUAGAAGCUCCUAGAUCUAACAUAGCCUUUUCAACUCUAACACUACCAAUUUUACAAGGGAUAGUAAACAUACCUGGAUCCUUGCACUUAGGAGGUAGUUUCUUUUGGAGAACUGCUGAAACAUUCUCCCCCAUGUGAACUUUUUCAUCUCCUCUUAAUUUUCUCUUGGAGGUGCACGGUUCCUUAAGGACUUUAGCAUAUCGAUGUAUUUGUUUUAUAGCAUCUAAUAAAUGAAUAUUUACCUCAACCUUACGAAAUGUCUUAAGGAUGUUUUUCUCUUGUUUCUCCUUCUUGGAUUUUGUAAACCGUCUUGGAAAAUGAGGAGGUAUCACAAUAGGUAGGGGUUUCGCUCUGGUGGGUUGCACAUCUUGAGAUUUAGGCAUCAAUUCAUUCUUCUCAAGCUCAUCUUCUACAUGCUUUGUCACUUUCUUACUAGGCUCUUGUAACUCAUUCCCACUUCUAAGGAUGACAGCACUAACGUUUUGUUUUGGAUUCACCUCAGAUUGUGAAGACAAUCUCCCUAAUACUUGAGACUCCAAACGGCUCACUGUAGUCGCCAAUUGACUCAUUUGGUUCUCCAAAUUCUGAAUGCUUGCUGUAGUUGCAUGCUGAAAUUGUUGAGUGUUAGUCGCAAGUGAUUUAACAAUUUCUUCAAGAGAUAUACCUGACUCGGAGUUUGACUGUGGAGGUGCUGGUUGUCUUGGUGGAUACUGUUGUGGGAAUCCUGACGGCCUAACUCCAUAGCUGAAGUUGGGAUGAUCAUUCCAUCCCGGAUUGUAUGUUUGUGCAUAAGGAUCAUACCUCCUCUGAGGCAUGCCUGGAAAUCCUCCAACUGCAUUGGCUUGUUCAACGAGUUCUUCUUGAAGUGUAGGACACAUAUCAGUUGAAUGACCUAUAUUGUAACAAAUACCACAAGUCUUCACCUGUUGCACAUUACCUACAACAAACUUUUCCACAAGAGAAGUAAGUUUAUCUAAACAUUGUUCAACAGAAGAAAUAUUUACCUCAUUCACCUUCCUUGAAGUGGGAUCUUGCAUGUUGCCAAAUUAUUGUGCAUUAGCAGCCAUAUUUGAUAUCAACUCCCUUGCUUGAGUAGGGGUCUUAUUCACCAACACACCUCCACUAGCAGCAUCUAUCAUACCCCUAUCCAUUAAUGACAGUCCUUCGUAAAAAUAUUGAAUAAGAAGUUGAUCAGAAAUCUGAUGUUGAGGACAGCUGGCACACAAUUAUUUGAAUCGCUCCCAAUACUCAUACAAAAUCUCCCCAGAAAGUUGUCUGAUCCCACAAAUAUAUUUUCUGAUGUUGGCAGCUCUUGAAGCAGGAAAGUAUUUCUCAAGGAACUGCUUCUUCAAACCAUUCCACGUUGUAAUCGAUCCAGGAGGCAAGUAGUACAACCAGUCUUUGGCUAGUCCAUCUAAAGAGAACGGAAAAGCACGCAGCUUAAUCUGCUCUUCAGUCACGCCUUGAAAGCAAAGGCGACGAGGAUCGUUGCUUAGCUCGCUUCAUCUGCUGUCUCAGCUGGCGAGCUGUCUUCUCAAUUUCAGGAUCAAACGAAAGUGUACUUGUACGAGAAGAACGAACCAUACACCAAGUAAAACGUAAAAAGGAUUAAAUAAAUGACACCAAUCCCCGGCAACGGCGCCAAAAUUUGAUGGUUGUCGAAGCCAGCAAAAAUAAAUACCUACUCUAAAUAAAUUGUGUAUAGUGAUUGAGCAAUGUCGUGUCCACAGAGAUCGGUAAUUAUUUAAAUCCUUUUAAAUGAUAAAACGUAAAAUAGGGGAAUUGUUGACAAUAAUAAAAAUCAAAUUAAAAUAACAAGAAUGCAAAUUAAAGUUGUAAUUCAAAUUGGAGAAAGCUCUAGUUGAAGGAAUUAACUCAGGUUGAUUCGACUACUCAUCAUUGAUUCAAAUAUAAAUUAUUACUACUUAUGAAUAGACCGGUUAUAGCUACUGAGACCCUCUAAUAGCCAAUCUCUCCUUAACUAGUCGAUAAUCAAGGUACGACCAUUGGUUAUUUCCCUAAUCAAUAGACAACCCUAGAUACGAUAAUAGGAUUUAAUCAAUUGACAGCCUGAAAAACCAGAGAGACCCAAAUUCUAAUCAACAAACACAUACGAUGGUUCAUUUAAAUUAGAUUGUUUAUUCUCACAACACAACUCUCUGCUAUGUUAUUUGUCACAAACAUUAAAAUCUUCAUACGAUGAAUCCUUUAAUUGACAAUAGAUUAAGUUGAUAAUUAAAUAGUGGCCAAUUACCUAAUUAACAAACAUAAUCAUGAAAAUAAUUCAGAAAAUAAACAAAUACCCAAAAAGUAAUAAAACAAUUAAAGAAUAAGAAAGAUCUCACAGUAAUGAUGAAUCAAAGCUUCAUUAACCUUCAACCAGAAUAAUAGAUUUAGUUCUUCAUAGAGAGAAGAGAAAAAAUUAGAUCUAGGGUUUCUUUCUUUUUCUCCAAUCCCUCUUUUUCACAAUAGAUUCCUCUCUUAAAUAUUCUCUCUCUCUUCUCCUCUAGAAUUCUAUUUAAAAUAAAAUACUAAUAUCUGAAAUAUUAAAUUCGUAAUACCAAAAAUACAAAACACGUUAAACUAAAAACUGCAGGUCCGUAGUUGACAGCACGCGCCCACACCUUAUCAACAAAGUUCUUCUGACGCUCAUAAUUUCUCCAAGAAAACAAUCAUCCUUAAACAUCAUCUUAUAGCUUAAUUUUAGCAUCAAUCAAUAUAAUUGCACCUAUAAAAAUAAAACACAAGUAAAUCACUAUUAUUAAGUGCAAAACAUCGAUAUUAAGGGAAGUAAACAAUGCAAAACUAGUGCAUAAAUUGCACUCUAACAAGUUCCUUAUGAUAAGCAAGCUGAAGAGAGCUGAAGAAGGAGGCAAGAUCUCGAGGAAAUUCAGCGAUGGAUGAAGCGAGGGUUCUAACUCUCACUCUUUUAAAAAAAAUUAUGCAUAUUCUUUCAUGUGCUGUAGAUAGGCCCUUCAACCUCGGAAACCUCACCAUGGACUGGGAGCGAAGGAAGUGGGAUCUGAUGGUUGGCAUUGUAGGUGGCAAGCUGCAAAAGAAAGAUGACGUUUUCAAAGUUGAAGGGCCUUUCUAGAGCACUGGAAUCCAUUCAUACUUCAGCUUGAAAUCCCAAAACACAAGGCUUUUUGUGCAUAUUUGUUUAGAUUUUGCAGUAAGAUUGGCUUUUAUUUUUCCCUUUUAGACUUGAAUCAGUAUAACAUUUCAAUGUUACAGCACACUUUGGUGCAGCAUAUGUAGAUCUGUAUUGGUUGCAACUGAGGUUUUCUGCAAAGACUGUUAUGAAUUUUUUUUUUAAAUCAUUUAUUAGGAAAUUUUCCCAACAGCAACACCAGAAAAGGUGAAAACAGGUAUGCUUGAGGUUGUUAUAGCUGCGCUUGGCCUACCGAAAGGUUCAUUUAGUCCAAUUAUGCUAAGACUCCACUUUUAUGGACAUUAUCUUGUAAUUUCAUUUUUAUCACGUCCCAUUUGGAUCUCCGUGACCUACUUGGCCUGUAGCUAUUUGCUGUUGGUGUUGCUUUUGAAUUAGUGGCUGAUUUGGACACGCUUAACAAGUUAUUGUGUGGACUCUAGUUAUAUUUUUUUGUUAUGCUUGUCUGAGAAAAGAGAUGGAACAUGUCGUUCCAAUUUAUUGAAUAUUUAAAAUAACUUGAGAAUUUCAUAACUAAGAAAAUUCAAGGUUCCUUUUUGAAUUUUUUUUUUUUUGGGNNNNNNNNNNNNNNNNNNNNNNNNNNNNNNNNNNNNNNNNNNNNNNNNNNNNNNNNNNNNNNNNNNNNNNNNNNNNNNNNNNNNNNNNNNNNNNNNNNNNNNNNNNNNNNNNNNNNNNNNNNNNNNNNNNNNNNNNNNNNNNNNNNNNNNNNNNNNNNNNNNNNNNNNNNNNNNNNNNNNNNNNNNNNNNNNNNNNNNNNNNNNNNNNNNNNNNNNNNNNNGGGAAAUGGGGGCAAGGGGAUGUGUGGGGAUGCAGCUCUUCCGUCUAACACUCCAAAGUAUUUCUUGUAUCUUGGAUCCUCGCGGAAGGACUGGUAUUUGUGGCGAUUGGCUGUUGGGUUCAAGUUUUGAAUCAGCUGCCUUAAGUGGCCGGCUCAUGCCAAUCAUGUAAGCAAGAAUACGAUUUUCAUUUGCUUAUUUGGUUUCUUUUUUGUGCAUAGAAAUAUAUAUUUCAUGAUUGAUAAUUAACAUCAAAAUCAAAUAAUAAAAUCUGUAACAACCUGUUUACCCCUGUAUAUGGACAUCUAAAUAUAAAUUAGUAUAUUGGCUUCAGUUCUGUUUGAAAUAUCAGACAAUUUUCAAUCGUAAGCUUGAAGCAUGAUUAUUCAUAUAUAAAUACUGUAAUUGGUCUAUCUUGAUUGUAGAUUAUUUAGGAAGUCGUGGAGUUCAUUUUGAGGAGUUUGCUGUUGGUUUACAAACAAGUUUUCUGCCACUCGAAGGACAUGAUAUUGGGCAAUUUCUAGGUUUAGAGUCUAUGGAAAAAGACGAAGCUCAAGCAUAUCAACCUAUCAUUUGAAUCAUUAAGCAGGCCAUGAAAAUUUCUACAGUUGUUAAGGUAUGCUUCUAUCUACACACUGUUUAUGGAUUUAUGAUUUUUACUUUGGUUGCCCCAUAUAUUAAUUCUCUUGCUUUUAUAGCUUGGAGUAUUAGAUUGCAGUGAUUGAUGAGAGUGAAUGCUUGUUUAAUGAUAAUUGAAACAAUUUGCUAUCAACAGUGUAGCAUGUGUUAAUCGUUGAAUAUUGUUUUUGUGACAACGUUUUUGUGUAUCAUUAAUUGCAUGUAGCCAUUGUGAUGCUUAGUUUAUAUGAAAAUUAGGCUAGCCCAAUCUUUUUUGGAUUUUUUGUUAUGAUUAUCUCCACGUUUGUGAUUGAGGUGUUGUGACUUUUAAUUUAUUGAGGAAUGGAAUUAAAACAUUAACUGCUUAAUAAAAAUGGGUGUUUAUCAAAUAUCUUAGCUAAAAUGCUGUCAAAAUUAUACUGCCACCAAAAUAGGACUCAACUCGAGUUAUUCAAACUCUUGAAACUUGAAUUUUGUGUAUCUGAACUGGGUGCUCAGUUAGUCAAUCGCAUCCAUGUAAUGAUUUGCAUUUAUUUAUUUAUUUAUGUUACUAUGCUUUGCUGUACCUGGGGAAUCAUGGCUUGGGAGGAAGAAUCGGAACCAGAAUGAUAUGUCCUUAACCUCUGAUAUUUGGUCAUGCUGCGAAUGAUUCUCAGUUUCGUCCGUUGGUUGACUGGAAGGUGGAAUCAGUGUUGGCAUGCGCAUACGGGAUCAUCAAUAUUGACAGAUCACCAUUCCCGCUUGCGCUAACCGUUUGAUUGACAUACUUUUACCAUGGAGGGUUGAGAUUUCGCCACGCCACCAUGCGCGGAAUACACUCACUGCAUUGGGUGAUACACCCAACCAUUCUUGUCUUAUUAGGAAGCAAUCUUGUUCGUUCAUUGUAUUGAUCUGAUGUUCCACAUUUAGCCACGUUUCCCCUUUCACUCAGCGAACGUUGUUGACCACAUCUGAACCGUUGGAUCGUGCAUCAAGUUUUCUUCAACGCAUGCUCACCGUGAUUAUUACGGUCACAGGAUUUGAAAAUGGAAGUUUUGUCUUCGGAUUGAAUUGAAAAGGUCGCGUGAUUUGGCUGAAAUAAUAAAAUUUCUUCCCUUUUCCUUUUUUCUUUUUCAAUUUCUGGCUUUUGUAUGUAACUUUUGUAAAUUAAUUAACAAAAUAUGUGCUUUAUUUUCCACUAUCUGUGGUUAAUUUUAUCAAGGUAGGGUGAGGUGAAGCUCUUCAUAUAAAGAUAUGAUUUAGUUAAGUUUUAUUUUUUUUAAUUGGGGAAAAAAGAUGGUAAACUUUAAUAUAUUUAUUUGUAUUAAUAACACUAGAGGUCAUUUAGAAAAUGGUAAAUUUUGAAUUAUUUUCUGUAUAAAUUGAUUAUCUUCAAACUUUUUUUUAUAUUUGAAAAUUUUAAACUGUUUUUAUUUUAUUUUAUUUUAUUAUAAAAAAGGAGUAAAUUAAGAUUUUUAAAAGGUAAACAGAAUUAUAUUUAAAUAGUCCAGGAAUAAUUAGAAAUUAACUCAAAAAUAACAUUAAAAAUGCUCUGCCCUUAUUACCACUAUGUCUAUGCGUGUUUUUGUGUUUGUGUGUGUGUGUGUAUACAGAUCCAUUGUUACUCAUCUUCGACAGCCUAGGGUUGGUCAAGCUAGAUCUAGUCUCUCUGUGUUAUGGGUGCAGGCUGAAAACAGCGGGGACGGAGAAUGAAUUUUCCCUUUUUAACUUGAAUCAAUGUAACAUUUCAAUGUCACCGCAUGCUUUGGUGCAACAUUUGUAGGUACGUAUACGUUGCAAAUCAGGCUUUCCUGCAAGAUUGGUAUGAAUUCUUUUUUAUCAUUUAUUAGGAAAAUUUCCCUACUGCAACAGCAGAAAAGGUGAAAAUAGGUAUGCUUGAACUUGUUGUAGUUAGGGGUGGCAAAGCGAAUAAAUGAAUCGAAUCGUAAGCGAAUUGGGUUAAAAUUUUAUUGAUUGAGAUUCGAUUAGUUUAAUAAAUGAAUCGAAAUCUCAGAAUUCGAAUUCGCUUCGUUUAUUAAACAAAUAUUCGGUUCGAUUCGUUUAAUUCGUUUAAUAAAAUAAACAAAUAUAAUCGAAUUCAGAUUCGUUUACUAUUUGUUUAUCCUUACGAAUUCAUAAUGAAUCGAAUUGAAUCUGGAUUCGUUUACAAUUCAUCUGUAAACUAUAAUAUUAACCUUCAAAUUUUAAAAAAAUUUCAAAUAAAUUUAAGGACAAAAAAGUAAUUUAAUUAAACGAAUGGACCAUAUUCAAUACGUUUAUAACCCAUUUAUUAAACGUAAAUGAAUAAACGAAUCAAUAUCUUUAAACCCGAAUUUGAUUUGUUUAAGUAGCAAAUCGAUUGAACUCAUCCAUUUAUUAAACGGAUCAAUUUUUUCAAAUGUAAAUCUAUUUAAUUUGUAUAAAAUCAAAUCGAAUAAAUGAACCCUAAGUUAGAUUGCCACCGCGAGUCGGAGCUGCGCUUGGCUUUAGAAGUUGGCUUUAGAAGCCCCUUUUUAUACUCGAGAGUCCAAUUAUGCUAAGACUCCACUUUUAUGGGCAUUACCUUGCAAUUUCCUUAUUUUUUAAUCGUGUCCCAUUUGGAUCAUUGUGACCUACAUGGGCUGUACCUAUUUGUGGUUUGUGUUGCCUUUGAUUUCGUGGUUGAUUUGGACAAGCUUAAUAAGUAAGUACUGUAUGGACUCUAGUUUUAUUUUCUUGUUUUGCUCGUUUCUCAGACGAGAUGGAAUAUGUCAUUCCAAUUUAUUGAAUAUUUAAAAUAACUUAGAGAAUUUCAUAAUUAAGAAAAUUCAAGGUUUCUUUUUCAUGAUUUAUGUAUUUUUUUUUCUUUUUUUGGGGGGGAUGUGCAGAGAUGCAGCUCUUCCGUCUAACACUCCAAAGUAUUCCACGUAUCUUGGAUCCUGGCGGAAGGGCUGGUAUAUGUGGCGAUUGGCUGUUGGGUUCAAGUUUAGAGUCAGCUGCCUUAAGUGGCUGGCUUGCCGAUUAUGUAAGCAAGAAUAUGAUUUUCUUUUGCUUAUUUGGUUUUACUUUUGUGCAUAGAAAUAUAUAUUUCAUGAUCGAUAAUUAAUACCAAAUAAUAAAAUCUGUAACACAACAUUUAUCUAUACCCCUAUAUACGGACAUCUAAAUAUAAACUAGUAUAUUGGCUUCAAUUAUGUUUGAAAUAUCAGACAAGUUUCAAUCAUGAGCUUCAAGCAUGAUUAUUCAUAUAUAAAUACUGUAAUUGGUCUCUGUAGAUUGUAGAUUAUUUAGGAAGUCAUGGAGUUUGUUCUGAGGAGUUUGAUGUUGGUUUGCAAACAAUUUUUCUGCCACUCGAAGGACAUGAUAUUGGGCAAUUUCUAGGUUUAGAGUCUAUGGAAAAAGACGAAGCUCAAGCAUAUCAACCUACCAUUUGAAUCAGUAGCCUUUAAAGAUUAUUAUGAGCUUUAUUGCUUGAAGCCCCACUUCUUGCCGCUGUUAGCGAUAAGUUGAAAACAGUAAUGGUUCCUUUUUAUCCACGUUACACAUUACACUCAUUCAAGAAUCUAGAGAUUACUUAACCGUGUUGUAAUUCAAGAGUGGUGUCCAACUUGGCCUAGUGGCAGCUUCUUAAAGCAAGAGUUUGGCCCAGAGGAUUGUUGCUCUCCACCAGAUGCGUUUGGUCUUAAGCUGAAUUCGCUUUUGUUGCCAAGUUCCAAUGAAAAAAUGUAACUAAAAAAAAAAAAAAACCCGAUGAUUGAAUCUUUGUGGAAAAUGAUCUGGAUGCAAUGCUGCUGCGUAGUGUGGUUUAGUUAAUUAUCCACAACAAAAGAGUUAUAAAAAUAUGUUACGUGUCCCAUUACUUAUUGAAUCAUUUUUUGGCAUCCACACUUAUUAUAGAAUAACUCAUUUUUUUUUUAUAAUGGUUAUUCAAACAGUAAAAAUUGCCAAAAUUUUUGAGUAAAAUGGUCGUUGUUAUUGUUUUUUUCCUUUUAAAACGGUGCCUUUGCUAUAUGAGGGGAAUCAUGGGAACCAGAAUGAUUGGUACUGAUUCAAGGUCCCAUAAUGAUCACGGUUUUGAGGUUUAACCCCCCACAAGGCAGAUAAGAACCUAAAAUUAAUUACAUGGUCACGUGAUUGGAAUUGCAUGGGCUGCAUGGGUAGGCUUAGAAUGAAAUGGCAUGGUGGCCGACCGCUGUACCAUGACUGCAAUUCCUGCACAGUAACAAGCAAGCUGAUUUACAUAUAUAUGCCACGUUGACAAUUAGCUUAUUUAGACAAACAUCUUAUCAAGGCACAAACGAACUUGAACGUAAAGCAAUAAUAUCCCAGCAACUAAUUGUCUUAAAAUAAUUAUUGUAAUUCUUCAUAAUACACAAUCACAAUUUUGAAGUUUUGAAAGAAAUUAAGCGACGAAUGCACCGAAAGCUUUCCUCCCUAACCCUAAGUGAUUACUUACGUAACCGUGCAUGUUUGGCCCACCUUCAGUGAAUCUUUUUUGAUUUUGGCUACCUUAUCACGAAACACAAAUGGAAGGGGACUCUGACUUAAGUCUCAAUUGACGAAACAGUAGUGCUAACACAAACAAAUAUUGGGGACUCUGACACAAAUGUGAGGUGAGGAAAUAUUACAACAUUUAGACUAGGAAUGUAAACAAAUGAAUAAAUAAAUAUAUUACUGGAUUUAAGAAAAUGAAGCCGGUGGCGAGUACAAAGGAGCUCUUAUGUGUUGAUUCCCUAAUAUCGUGUGCACUUCCUCAUAUAUAAUAAAUUUUGAAUUUUUUGUUGUUGUUAUCUAUGUCAUAAUUGUUAUAACAUUAAUGUUUUUUCAAAUAAGGAUAAAAUUGAUAGAUUUAUGAUUUUAUUAUAACACACACAGUCAUAUAUACACCUAAAAUAUAUGUAGAACCACUACCACCUUAUAUAUAUAUAAAAAAAAAGUGUAUACAACAGGUUAUCAAGGCAUACCAUUAGCACUAAAUUAUGUAAAUCAAGUUUCUUUUCCUUCAUGCCAUGUCCUUUACGGUCGGCUGAUUCGGUUUUGGUGCUUGUUGCUGAUGAGCAUAUAAUAUAUACAUAUUUUACUCUUAAUUAUAUAAUUGCUAAUUAUUAUUAUUUGUUAUUUUAAUUGAUUAAAUUAUUUUGUUGAAUGAGGAAUUAAUUAGAGAUUAUGGAUUAAAAAAGUAUAAAAAAUUUUAAUUUAGAAAGAAAUAAAAAUUAAAUUAGAAGACAAAAUUACAGUAGAGAAUUAAUGAAAGUCAAGAAGAUCAAAAUUCAAAGUCAACUUCUUUAAUAACGGACGGUGGGCAUGCAUUUAGAAGACAAACAUUUGGUGAUGGCAAUUGCAUUUACAUGACAUAAUAUAUUAUGGAAAGCAAUUUAAAGGGACCUGUGACUUGGCUUUCAAAGGUGGACAUAAACUGAUGGAUUAUGGUAUUGACAAAUAAUGAUGACAUAAAUUAGGAAAAUUGACUUUAGAAUUGGAAAUAGAAUCCCGAUUGAAUUGGGCCAAUUAAUGUAUAUGGAAUCCUUUUCAUAAUUGGUGGCCAUGGUGCUUGCAAAAGAUGCAGCUGCCAUACUCAUUUCAAAAACUUUCCGAUCCAAUGAGUUCUACAGGAGGAUUUAUAAAUUAAGUGAUAUAUUUUUAUAUAUUUUUAAAAUAAAAACUUUAAUUGCGCACCACUUGAGUUCUUAUCCAAAAUUACCUUUCCCGGUAAAGCUAAAGCAUUUUGUGUUUUCUUACACGGCAAAACAUUGUUUGUUACAUAAACAGUUCACGGCAAGAAGAGCAGCCAUUUUUGACUUUUUUGAAGAGAAUAAUAUUGGAAUAAGCUUUCGAAUUUACCGAUUACGAAUUACGAUGGCUUUCUAAGCAAAUGGGGUCUGAGAUGGACCGAUGGUUAAGUUGAGGGGAAAAUUACAGAUAGAUUCCAUCUUCAAAUAUAAGUUAAAAAUAUUUAAAGUUUUAAACUUAAUUUUAAAUAGAUUGUGAUACUUUAUUCUUUUUAAAUUUAAAAACGUUAUAUUUAAUUUCUUAUACUAACAGUUUAAAUUAUUUUACGAUAAAAAAUUCAUAUUAUCUCUGAUCAAUUUAAGUGAUUUUACAAAUAGUAAACAUCCAUCAAAAUGAUUUGUGUGUGUGUGUGUGUGUAUGUGAUAUGAUAAUAUUAUCCUUUAUAAAUUAAGUGAAGGUAAUUCCAUUUGAUUCCAUCACAUCCUGGAUUAUCUGUCAAUUUUAUUUACAUAAAAAAAUAUACAUUCUCCCAUUGACAACAUAUAAAAUAAGCUUCACCAAGUCUUUAAAAACUGUAUUGCCUACGUUGUUUAUGUUUUUCAGUUUUUAAGCCAAGAAAAAUGAAAGAGAAUUAAAGAUUACAUAAUUAGGUAAUUAACUCAAAUUAUUAAAGACAAUAUUGUCAUAACACCUGCACAAAAUUUCAUUUUCAUGGAUGCCUACAGAUUGUAAAAUAACUUAAAUUGAUUAAGGUCAAUAAGAACAUUUUCAUUGUAAAAUAACUUAAAUUAUUAGUGUAUGGGGUUUAGUACAACAUUUUUAAAUUUAAAGGGUUAAGUGUCAUAACCUAUUGAAUCUGAGUAUAAAUAUUUCUAACUUAUAUUUGAGGAGGAAUAUGUAAUUCUUCCUUUAGUUAAGUUUCUAAUCAAUUUACAAAAUGACUUUCCAUGUAAGUUAUUAAUUGUUCAGAAUUAAUGAAACCGAAGGUGAGAUAAUAACAAUUUGUUCAUUUACAUUAAAAAAAAAAAAAAGGUAUCCACCUAAUUUAAAUUUACACAUCCUUUAUAUGGCUGUUGUGUAUACAAAAGAAUACAGACACACACACACAGAGAAAAAGAGGGAGGGAGGGAGACAAAAAGAGGAAUAAAAAAAAUAUAUAAGUUACGAAAAAUUAAAAAUAAUAACAAAAUUGUUUUAAGGACUAACGAUUAAAGAAACAGGGAAACAAAAUUUUUCUUUUCAUUCAAUAAUCAAUACUAUUGAAAAAAAAAACAUUUAGACUAGGAAUGUAAAUAAAUGAAUAAAAAACGCAUAACUGAAUUUAUGAAAUGGAGCUGAUGGAGUACUAAGGAGUUCUUUUAUAUAUAUAUAUGCGCGCACACACACACGCACCAGAAUAUAUAGCAAAAUAAAUGAUAUAUCAACUAUAUCGGCAAUUAAACAGAAACGAGUGAAGAAUGAUGAUACAAGUACGUAAAAGAGAAAUGAUGAAGGAUCAGCAACUCAGGCACAAACUGAUGUACACAAGACUAGACUAGCUCAGCCCAGUAAGCAAAGCCGGAUACUACAACAAAAUUGAGAUAUAUAGCCUCUAAAAUGUGCUACUAAAAGUAGAAGGUACCACUUUUAGGAGUGAUAUGUUAGCCCAUGUUAAUAAGAGUAUAUCUUUUGGUAGCAGUUAUGGAAUGUCAUAAAUUACAUUUUGUAGCAUGAAAUAAAAGCUAUAUAUGUAUUUUCAGUAGCUUUAGGUAGACGUUACUAUUUCAUAACUCGUAGCAUUUAUAAAAUGCUACUAAAUACCUUGCCAUAGCAUAUAUAAAUGCUAUCAAAUUCUAAGUCAUAGCAUAAUAAAAAUGCUACAAUAUUCUCUUAUGAUUUAUAGCAUUUUUUUAUUGCUUAAAAUUACAAAUUUUGGUAGCAUUUAAACAUUGUUAUUAUAUUUGGUAACAAUGUAUCAUCGUUGUCAUCAUAAUUUUAAAGAAAUUGCUAAUUAGCUUAGAUAUUUAUAUCAUUCAUCUUGAUAAUAAUACAAAACUUUCACAAAUACAAGCUUUAUAAUCCAAAUGAACAAAAAGUACCAUAUAUUAUAUCAAAUAUUGCAUCAAGGUCAUAAGUUGAAGAUAAAUAUCAACUCCAAAUAAAAAUUAUGCUUGACUAUGAACAAGGGCAAAACUAUGUUGUAACAUGGGUUUGGUACCCCUUCUUUUUGUCUUUUUCAAAGUCAAUUACAAUGGAGUCCUGUUAAAAGGUAAUUAAAAUUAUUUUCAAUAUAGAAAUAGAAUAAUAAAACAAAAUUAUUACUCUUAUUUUUUAAUUAAUUACAAAAAGAUAUUUUACAUUAAAAAAUAUAGACAAUCACUGGUGACCACUGCUUCUUUGCGUGCAAUAACAUUAUUAAUCGAAAGGGGUCAUGAAGGGUACCAUUAGACUUGAAAUUGGAUGAUCUACACAAUGAUAGCCUCAAAUGCUAGAAAAUGGUGAUAUGUAGAGUUGCACGCCCCUUCCAAAAUAACUGUGAUCAUAACUACACCACAAAAACACAAGUUACAUUGCACUGCCACCUUUUUUCAAUUUAGAGACCGUCAUUUGGUUGUUAAAGGCAAUGAACCUUGAAACCCCAUUUAAUCAUAGGGUCUUGCUACAGAUGUUUGCAUUGGAAGGCGUCUCUAUCGCUGGUACAUCCAUUUAUCCGACAACAUUGCCACCAUUACACAGAUCUGAGAAUUUUGAAUAUGUUGAUAGUAUUCGUAUUUCUAUUCACUCACUUCUAUUUCUUAGUGAUGGUGUCGUCAUUGUUGUCAUUGACGGUGCAAUAAAUUUUAGCAAUGUUAUUUUGAUUUUUCAUCUAAUUUAUAAAACUUAAAUAUUAAUUAUAAUAUUCAGCAAGUUAUGGAAUUGAUUGGGUGUACGAUUUUUAAUGUGAGAUUUUGAAAUAAAGAAACUGAAUUGAGGGAUUUUUACGAAGUGUGGUGUCAUUGGAUGGUUGAGAGAAAUAUUAAAAAUAAAAAGCGUUUGGGGUUUUGUAGUCAAAUAAGAGUUUUAGGUAACAUUUAAAAAGUGCAACAAAUUAAAUGUGAAAUACAAUUAAAAAAUUAAGAAUAUUAUUCAAUGACUAAUUGUAGUUUUUUUUUUAAUAAAAUGCUACAAUAGCAUGAUAUUUGGCAACAUUUAAAAAAAAAUCUACCAAAAUUGAUAUUUGUUGUAGUAUAUAACUAAAAAUUGAAACAUAACCAUAGCAGGCUAGGAGAAGCACAGGGACACAAUGAUGCAAGUGUUGGCAGGUGGGCCACAGGUGUCUGCAAAAGAUGGGGCUACUCAUCAUUACAAAACUUGGCAAAUUGAUGAAUGAUAGGCUUUUGGUUAAGGCCGUUAAGUUUCCUCAUCCGUUAUAAAACGUGGCAAAUUUUUAUUGUUUGUUAAAUAAUAUCUUUGAUUUGCUUUAUGUUAAAUCCUUUGUCGAUUCGACCAUACACGUAGGGUAUGCCUACCUUACGAUUUAACAUCUCUUUAUAUUAUUACGUUAAACGUAAGCUAACGAGACUCACUGCUAUAGACAGAGCUACAUCUUACGUUAAACGUUAUUCAUUUAUUAAUUUAAUUAAACGUUAAAUAUUAUUUAUCAUACAUAAUAAAUAAUUAAAUUAGUAACCCAACAUGUCUUAUCCAUUUACUCUUAAUGAUUAAAUUAUUGACUUUUAGCAUUAAUUUAGUUGGAGGACUUACCACACCGCAUGCAUAGGCUUUAGAUUUUUUAGCCUUGUGCCCAUUGGACAAAGCGCAGAGGAAAAGCAUGCCACUAGAAGCUAAAAUCAUGGAUGGAGACAACGAUAAUCAGAGGAAAAAAGAAGCGUUGAAAAUAAUACUGAAAUGGAGUUAUAUACAACAUGUUAUCAAGGCAUACCAUUAUUACUAAAUUAUGUAAAUCAAGUUUAUAUAUAUAGAGAGAGAGAGAGGUAAUGAUUAUUUUGAAGCUGCUACAAGAUAGAGCACAAAUUACAGUCACGCCCGUAAAAUAAUAAAUAAAAAAUAUAUAUUAUAAUUUUAAUCGUGUAGUUAUAAAGACAUGUUUUAUAUUCUUUUAUACGUGUAUAAUGACAUAUAUACAUACACACAAAUGACAUAUCUUAUAAAUCAUUAUAAAAAGUACAGGACACAACUACAUCUGCAAUCAAACAGUAACGAGGGAAGAAUGAUUGCAGAUGUAGAUUAUAUAUAUAAACGAGGAGCUGGCUUCGUUACAGAAACUGUAUGUAACAGCCAUGCAUUUUUUAUUCGUUGGAUCUAGAAACUGAAGUUGGAUGGUUGGUAUUAAAGGUCAGAAUAGAAAUUAAUCACGGGCGACCGUUUUUAACAUUUAGAAAGGUUCAUUUUCAUGAACACCCAAAUGUUUUGAUAAAUAUCAAUAUGCACCCAUUAGCUUUUUAAGUAAAACCACACACCCAACUCGUUAACUUUUCUCCUAUUGAAUUAAAAAACUAUCAUGCCUUAAUUGAAUUAAAUUGAUCAGGUAAAAUAUCUCUUAUAACUUAUCAAUUUUUACAGUAAUAUACAAAUAUUUAGUAAAAUCAAAUAUAUUUUUAUUUAGUAAUUAGAUUUUUUAUUUAGUAAUCAAAUUUAUUUUCUAUUCAGUAAUUAAAUUUUUUUUAUUUAGUGAAAUCAAAUUUUCAUUUUCAUUUAGUAGUCAGAUUAUUUUAACAAAAAAGUUCUAAAAUCAAAUUUGACUUGUUUACUAUUUUAAAAAAUGAACUUGUUUAUUAACCAACUAGAGUUUAUCUUUAGUCAACAUAUUUUUUUCUCUAAAAUAUCCUUUGAACAUAAAAAGAAGAAUGAAAAUAAAAAGAUGCUUUACCAAGAGUUGAUUAACAAUAAUCAGUAUAUUUGAGCAUGCAAUGAACCUAUAUUCAUAUGACAUAAUAUAUAAUUUUAUUCAUCAAUUACAGUACUAAUUUUCUAAAUUUUUUAAAAAUAAAUGGUUAAAAAAAAUUUAUUUUUAUAAAAAUAAAUUAAAAAAUAAAUUUUUUUUUACAUGGACCUAAUAUUUAAUUAAGGGCAAUAAUGUCUUUGUACUAGUUAGAAAUGGCCAGUAAUUGAACUUAAACGCGUAGGACAACAAUUUGACUAUUUUAGGGUGGGGUUGAUGGCUUACAUCAAACUUAGGGUGUGCUAAUGAUUAAUAAUAAUAAUGGGGUAAAUAUGAAAUUAAUCCUUACCCAAGCAUUAGAACUUCGUUGGUUUUCUUUUAGCCGGAUAAUUUCCGGUCAAUUUGUCACGCCUCCCUACACAUGGCAGCAUCUAAUUUGUUCGCUUGUCAUUUCAGUUUCUGUUACAUACAGUUUCUGUAACGUAGCCAGCUCCUAUAAACGAACUCCUCAGUUUGUUUGAUUUAUAUAAAAGAAUUAAACCUUUUUCGAAUGCCUAAAAGAGAAAUCACGAAAGAUAGCUUUUUUCAGUGUCAAUAUAAAAUAAUUACGCUUUUACAAAUGCCUAAAAGAAAAAUCACGAAAGAUCAGCAUUUUUCAGUGUCUGUUUGUCCCGCUCGCACUGGCGCGCGUGUGUUACAGUAUUCAACAAAUUUCAUAGAAAUAUUAAAGAAAAAUCAUGAAUUAUCAGCUUUUCUCAGGGGCUGUUGUUACACCAUUCCCGCUAGCAGUGGUGUGUAUUUACGCUCUCCAAAUAUUAACCGUCCGAUUAACAUACUUUGACUAUGGAGGGGUAAGAUUUUGCACGCCACUAUUCGCAGAAUGCACCUCACUACACUGGGUCAUACACACCCAACCAUCCUUGUCUUGAUCCGAUGCUCCAAGUUUUGCCACGUUUUUCCUUUACAUGACCACAUCUGAACCGUUGGAUCGUACAUGAACUAUUCCCGGACGCGCAUCAACUAUUCCUGGACGCGCAUUAGCUACUCCUGGACCAACUUUCCACUUCAGACACACACAAUUUCCCUUUCACUCCCAUGAGUGUCGUACGCAAUAUUUACUUGCCCACGACUCCCUCCCAAAAUCCAAGAAACCCUAGCAUUCAGCUCAGGCCUCAAAAUGAGAAAUAACCCAUAUCAGCUGCACUCUGUGUUCUGGGAUGAGGAUGCAAACCUCGUUCGCUUCAAGUACCCUCUUCCAAUAGGGACGAACCAAGAGGAUGUGACGAUUGAGGUUGACGAAGAUGGGAAUUUGCUUACAAUGAAAAGCAAGGUGGUAAGUUCACAUAAUGAUCCUCUCUCUUCAGCUUUUAACUCGAUGGUCAUAUCCGGAUCUUCUCUCUUAAGCUUCCUGAGGAAAAACGAAGGAGACCCCGCCACCCCGAUUAUCUCGAUGAAAUUCAAGUUGCCAGCGGGUCUUAACCUGAAUGGCUUCAAGACUGCAAUGGAUGAUGCCGGCGUUCUAACUGUUACCUUCACUAAACUCAAGCCAGAGAAGAAAAAGCUGGUGUCAGUAGCAAAGAAGAUGCUGGGAUGUUUGGCUCAUGCUGUGCCUGCUGCUUGUUUUCUGAUAUGUGAGAAGAUAUGUGAUGCGAUUUGUUCAGGAGACUAAUAAUAAGCUGGUCUCAAAUAGGUAUUUGCUUCGUGUUCAUGUAUGUUGCUUCUGUCGUUUAUCUGCUAGUGUCUGACAUAAAGUCUGGAGUCUGUGAGUCUAGACCAUGUGUUCUCUAAUUACUGUUGCGGUAUCUAAAUGUGGAGUGAAAAAUAAAUGCUUUUUUUAAAUGUUUGUUUUGCUUUUUUUUUUUUUUUUUUUUUUUUUAUUUUUUUUUUUUUUUUUUUUUUUUUUUUUUUUUAACGUAUGCAAUAAGAUAUCCCUACUAUAGAAUCUGCAAGAUAGCAAGAUCUCUCUUUUUUUCUUUUUCUUUUUUUAAAUUGUUAGCGUUGGAAAUUUUCUUUAAGUGAAAUAGAAGAUCUUGUCUAAUAAAAAUGAUGAUGGUUGUAUCUCCUUUUUUUUUCAGAGAAAUAGAAGAACUUUAUCUAAUAAAAAAUGAUAAUUAUUGAGUGAAAAAUAAAUGCUUUUUUUAAUAGUGUUGAAUGAAAAAGAAAUGUUUGUUUUCCUGUUUCCGGCCGCCUCCCACAUCACCCCUCACCGCCGAUCACUACCCAACCAGCCGGAAGCCCCUUUGCUAACCGUUACCGCCCCAAAACGUAAAUCCAAGUUCACGGCUUCCCCAUUAAAAUCUAGCCGCCAUCUCCUCCACCACUGUUGGUGGUGUUUUACAGCCGCUUGAACCGUCCUCUGUCACCUCACAGCCACUGUCCCACAUGGUUCACCAAACCCCGUCGACCACGCAUCUCCCUUCAACGCGUGUCGGUCCAAAGCGACACAAUAAACCCUAGUUCGUUGCCAUUUUCCCGUGGCGCCACCAGCCUUCCUGCCAUUGCUGAACCUGAUGUGCUGCCUGCGGUUCACUCCACAUCAUCCCAACAGCCGCCGCUUAGCCUCCCACUGCUGCUUUUGGCCCUCUGACUCCGAAAGCCUCCUACAAUCCAAAUCCGACUCUUCACCAAACCCUAGCCCGCUUUCUCUUGGCCCAACACAGACCCUAGCGGCUGCCCUCUUUCUUUGGCCGCUCACUCCUUCACCGGUGAUGGUGGCUGCCCUCCUUUGUUUCCUUCACAGCCUCCGCACAGCCAACAAACAUCCACCUCCCAACUUGGCGGCCAUGAUUCACGCUUCCUGCCUUCAACUAGACUGCAACAGCGGAGAAGGUGAUAACUGGUAUAAGAAUAUGAAUCUCUUUUGCUUAUUUGGUUUUAUUUUGCACAUAAAAGUUUAUAUUUUAUGAUUGAUAAUUUAUAUCAAAUUAAAAAAAAAAAAAAUCUGUGACACAACCUUUAUAUCCCUAUAUAUGGAUAUGUAAAUAUGAAUCUGUGACACAACCUUUAUAUCCCUAUAAAAAAAAAAAAAUCUGUGACACAACCUUUAUAUCCCUAUAUAUGGAUAUGUAAAUAUGAAUUAGGAAAUUUUGUUCUUUUCAGUUUGAAAUAUCAGACAAAUUUCAAUCAUAAGCUUCAAGCUUUAUUAUCCAUAUAUAAUUAAUGUAAUUGGUCUAUGCAGAUUAAUUGCAGAUAUUUACUUAUUUAGGAAGUAAUGGAGUUUAUCCUGAGGAGUUUGCUUUUUGAAUUACUCUUAUUUAUUAAUUCUCUUGCUUUUAUAGCAAGAAUUAUUAGAUUGGAGUCAUUGAUGAGAGUAUAUGCUUAAUGCGCCCUAAGUUCCUGCAUAUUCCGCCACCAAAAAUAGGACUCGGCUAGAGUUAUCCAGGCUUGUGAAACUUGAAUUUUGUGUUUCAAAGUUUAGUGCUGAGUUAGCCAACCACGCCCACGUAAGUAUUAUUCAUUACUACUAUUAUCAUUAUUGCAUGUAAAUUUUGCACCACCGUAUUAUGACUACAAUUCCUGCAAUGUAAUUAGCUUGUUCAUACAUGCCGCAUAAAUAUUGAAAUGGAGUUAGGUGUAAGCAAGCAUCUUAUCAAGGCACAAAUGAACUUAAAUUCAAAUAUGGCAUUAACAUUGUGACAUGGUGUAUGGAUACAAGCUUACCCUUCGUUCUAGAUCUCUUUUGUUAAUUUUUUUUUUCCAUUGUAACGAAAAUGAUAUUUCCGAUUUUUUUACUUGACUACGAACGUAAUUAUAGUUGCUAUGGCCUUGUAGGCACGGUUGGCAGAUUUGGUAGUUUUUAAGCCAACAAAAAAAAAAUCAAAAUUACAUAAAUUAGAUAACUCAAAUUAUUAACGGCAAUAUUGUCAUAACACCUGCAUAAUAUUUCAUUUUCAUGGAUGUCUAAGGUUUGUAAAAUAACUUACAUUGAUGAGGGUCAAUAAGAACUUUUUCUUGUAAAAUAACUUAAAAAACUUAAACUAUGAGUGUAUCGGAUAGGAAAAUUCUAUGAUCCCGUAAUGAUAAUUACGGCAUCAAUACAGUGAUAAACAUAAACAUUGUAAAUUACACACAAAACUUGUAAAUGUAAAGUAAAACCAGUAAAUUCAUACAAGAUUAUUAAUUAUUGAAAAAAUUAACAUCGUUUCUAUAGAGUUUUAGUGAAAACUAUUUUAUUCAUUUACAAAAAAUAUUUUCUUUAAUAAAAAAAACUCAUUAAUUAAACAAAAAUUAUACUGAAAAAAGUGGAAUAUGUUUUAUUGAAUUUGUUUAACCAUUAAUUCUAUAUUUAUUCUAGGACAUUUGUAUACUUUUUUCCUCCCAUUUUCUAUAAUAAUAUCUAUUUAUUACAUAAGUGAAUCAAGCACAAUUAUUUAUCAUGAUAUGGAUCAAGCAAAAACAAACAAAAAAAAUUCUUAUAAUACUAGACAUAUGUACAAUAUAUCAAUGAAAUUAUAUAUAAUUUUGAGCCUUAUACAUACAGGAUUGUUCUUGAGGAAGCGUAGAAAGAUACAAAAUAACCUCAUUUUACAACAACUAUGAAAGAUAUUGAAAUAAUUUUUUUUUUAAAAUCCGAUUUUGAGAAUAAAUUUCAUCCUUAAUAAAAUAUCACAUGUAUUACAUAAAUGCAAAACUAGCAUUAUUCAAUUUAAAUUAAAAAAUAUAAGGUAAUAAACAUUGUAAUGAGUUUUUAUUUUACAAUUGUGAAAUGUUUUUGUAAUAACUCUUAUAUCAAUUUAUUUAUUUUACCUUUUAUUCAUAAGUUUUAGACGUAAUCUAUAAAAUUUAUGUUUUAUUUUGCACUUAAUGUUGAUUUACUUGUUUUAUGUUAUAUUUGUAAAUUUUCGUUUAAUUUAUCAAUAAUACAUUAAAUUACCAGCUUUAUAGUAAUUUACUUGUUUUACCUUCUUUUUACAAGUCUUUUGUUUUAUUUCUAAAAUUUAUAUUUUAUUUCUUAGUUAGUGUUGAUUUACUAGUUUUAUGUUCUAUUUACAAGUUUUUGUUUUGUUUAGCAUUAAUACAUUAAUUUACUAGUUUUAUAUUAAUUUAUUUGUUUUACCUUCCAUUUACAGGUUUUAUGUUCCAUUUUCAAAAUUUAUGUUUUAUUUUGCGCUUAAUGUUGAUUUACUAGUUUUAUGUUAUAUUUAUGACUUUUUGUUUUAUUUACUAGUAGUUCAUCAAUUUAUCAGUUUUGUAGUAAUUUACUUAUUUUACCUUUCCUUUACAAGUCUUUUGUGUCAUUUUCAAAAUUUAUGUUUUAUUUUACAGUAAAUGUUUGAUUUACUAGUUUUAAGUUAUAUUUGCAAGUUUUUGUUUUGUUUUCUAGUAGUACAUCAAUUUACUAGUUUUAUAUUAAUUUACUUAUUUUAUCUUUUAUUUACAAAGUUAUAUUUAAUUUUUAAAAAUUAUGUUUUAUUUUACACUUAAUGUUGAUUUAUGCAUUUUAUGUUAUAUUUGCAAGUUUUUGUUUUAUUUACUAAUAAUACAUGAAUUUAUCGGUUUUGCAUUAAUUUACUCAGUUUAUCUUUCAUUUACAAGUCUUAUGUUUAAUUUCUAAAAUUUAUGAUUUAUUUUACAGUUAAUGUUAAUUUACAAGUUUUAUGUUUUGUUUACAUAAUUUAUAUUCAAUUACGGUAUUGAUACCGUAACUUUAUUCACGGCAUCAUAGAAUGACCCAAAGUAUAAGGAAAAUAUUUUUAAAUUUAAAGGGUUUAUAACCCAUAUUAAUUGGGAUUCAAAUUGAGACUUAGAUGAUGGGAUACCUCAUAUUGCUCAUUUAUACUUACACAUCCUUUAUAUGGCUAUUGCGUAUACAAAAUAAUGCAAAGAGAGAGAGAGAGAGAGAGAGAGAGAGAGAGAGAGAGAGAGAGAGAGAGAGAGAGAGAAGGAAUACAAAUAAUAUCUAAGUUACAAAAAGUCAAAAAUAAUAAUAAAACUAUGGUAAUAUAUCCACGAUGAAGAGCCCAAAAAAAAAAGAUAAGAUAAUUAAAGCAUUAAAAUAUGUUCUUAACAAAGUGGGGAAAAUACUAUGUGAAAGGGAAAAAAAAACAUAUGUAUAUGUUACACGAAAGACAAAAAACUAUAAUUUGGUGUAAUUUAUUUAUUAUUAACUUAUAAAUUCAUUGAAACUCAAAAUCAAGAUUUGAGAUCACCGAAAGACUCUUUAAAUGAGAUUUUAUAUCUCAUUUGAAGAGUCACAUAAUAAAUGAGAUUCUUCAAAUAAGAUUGUCAUUCUCUCUCUUCAAUAUUAAAGAGAAAGAAGCACUAUCUAAUUUGAAGAAUGUUAAUUCAAAGUGUUUUAGAGCCUCUAAUUUAGUAUUAAAUUAGUUUUUAUCUCAUUAUUGUUGAAGAGAGAGAAGUGCUAUAAUUGCCACUAUUUUAGUAGAGUAAAAAGUUUGAUUAAAACAAAAUAAAUUUAUUUUGAUUUAAAAAAAUUUGUUGUAGAUGUCAUAUUUUUUCACUCUUCUAUUUGUCAAAUAGGUAAAUAAAUAAAUAUUUGAAGAGUAAAUUAAAAAUUUAUUUUGGUGAUGCUUUAAGAAGACGACUCUUUAGAUGGAAUUAAUUAGUCCUCGGCUUAAAAAAAAAAAAAAAAGACUAAAGUUUAUGCUUGUCCAAAAAUACAAAAUUGUCGAUCUAGUAACCUUCAAUAUUUUUGGACGGUUUGAAUUGAACAUAAGCUUCCAGAGAUUUCUUCCCAACAAGUGGAUAUGUGUGCUCGCGCAGUCGCACUACUUAAUAUGAGUAUGACCCCCCACCUACCGGCUGCUAGUUUUCUCCAUGCCACAUCAUAUUACACGCAUUGAGUUUGCAAUUUUGAGGUUUAAUUUAGCCGAAAAAAUGGUAGCUUGAUAUGAUUUGCGCCUAAUUCCUUGUCUAAAUUAUUUUAAUUACCUAAUUAAUAGUCGCUUGAUAUGAUUCAAGUGGGAAUAUAGGCACUCUUUCGAUGAUGUGACUAAGAUGACAUAGCCCGGGCAACGUCAUUCGGAUUUGCAUAUGGUUAUGGUGGGGCAAAGCCUUUUUGACAAUCUGCGUCCAGAAAAGAAACUAGAUGCCGAAAGAAAUAAUACAUGUGGUACCCCAUUAAUAAUUAAAAUAAUCCAUGUUCGUUGAAAACGUCAGGUCACACGUCACAACUUUUUGUUUUCAGAUCGGUUGGCAAAAUCCGGAUGUAGGCGCAUUCGGAUCCGUAUUUAUAUUUUUGUACUCGUAUAUGCAUUUGGAUUUGUAAAAUAAGAUGUAAAUCCGGAUAUAGGUAAUAUUCGCAACAGAUGCGAGUGGAUAUUUUGAAUAUCCGGAUUCAUAAAAAUUAAAAUUUAAUAAUUUAAUAUAUAAUUUAAAAAUUCAAUAAUUUACUUAAUAAUAUCAAAUCAAAUCUAAUCAUAAUUCCACAAUUAAUAACUCAAAGUGAAUAACAUACAAUAAUCUUAUAAAUCUACAAAUAAAAGUUAAUUUUUAAUUUAAUUUUCAUUUUAAAAUAAAAUUCAAUAAUUUACCUAAUAAUAUCAAAUAAAAUUCAAUCAUAAUCCAACAAUUAAUAAUUCAACAUGAAUAAUAUAAUAACAUCAUAAAUCCACAAAUAAAAUUUAUUUUUUAUUUUUCAUUUAAUUUUAAUAUAUAUUUUUAAUUUAAUUUUUAAUUUAAAAUAAAAUUUAUCCCGAUCCAAAUCCGUAUGGUUCCCAAAUUUUCAUAUUCGGAUCUGCAUUUUUUAAUAUACGGAUUUGGAUUUUUCCGGAUCUGGAUCUUCCGGAUCCUUACAAAUCUUAGCUGGAUCCAGAUUUAACUGUCAUCCCCAUAUCAUAUUUUGGCUAGGUCAUAUUUUGGCGAUUGCGGUUCGAUGUUCUUGCUUAACUUUUUAAGGAUUUUAUUAGACCUAUCUACAUUAGUUAUUAAUGGCUAAAUUUGUUAUCCUUGUAUUUUUUUUUUAUUUUACGCUUUUCCAAAAAUGCAUCAUAUUGACAUAAGAUCUUAAUUCUAGAACAUCCCGCUUGUUUGCUUUUAGCCUCAUCGUGCAUAAUUGAAACACACUUCACUUCCAUUACUUUUUAUUUUUUUUGGGCUUACUUUUACAAUAUUACUCUUUUAUAAUAAUUUUUUUAUUUGGACAUUAAUAAAAAAAUAAUAAUUAAAUUACCAAUUUAACCCUAGAAAAUAAAAAAAAAUUACAUUAAUUUUUUUGCAAGCACCAUUUGCACAUUUGGUAGUUUGCAUACAAUUUUUGACAAUUAAAAAUUAAUACAAUUUUUUUAUUUUUUAGGGUUAAAUUGGUAAUUUAAUUAUUUUCUUUGUAUUAAUGUCCAAACAAAAAAAUUAUUAUAAAAGGGUAAUAUUGUAAAAGUAAGCCAAAAGAAAUAAAAAGUAACGGUAGGGGUAUCAAUAUUUUAACGGCAUGGAUGUUUUGAGGUAUUUUUAAAAAUAUAGGGAUUAAAUGGAUACUAAUUUUAAAAUACAGGGAUUAAAUGAGCUUUUACCCUAUUUUUUUGGUUGAUUAAAAUGCCUAUAACAAAGAUUAAUUCAGAAAAUUUAAUUGAUUUAUCCUACAAACUGAGACUGUGCAUGGAGUUUGAUUAAGAAGAAGUAGCAUGUGAAUUCUAUAAUAAGCAUACUUAUGAGAUUAAGGAUAAAAAUAUCACAAGCACAUGGAAUUAGGCAUAUUCAGAUCCUAUUCAAGUUCCCGUCGGACCCGUUACAAGAGCUCGAGCAAAGAAAUUCAAAGAAGCGCUUAAUGGAUUGAUUCAAGCAACUUGGGCUCAAUCAAAUUCGUGGAGACCCAUUGAAGGAAUCGCACAUGAUAAAUGCAUGAUUCAGGCUCUUGAAGUUUCCAAAUAGUCACUUCCAUGAAAUAGGGAAUUGGCUUAAACAUUAUGGUGGGAAAAUAUAUUAUUUUCCUUUUUCAGAUACUUUCCCAUUUAUUGAGGAGGCUAUUAGGGAAUCAAAUCAGUUAUUUCUAUUUUAAUCGCUCAAUUUCCAUUUAAUUGAUGUAAGGCAUUUAAGACAAUUAGGAUCCUGAUUUAGUUUAAAUUCUUUCCUAUUUACUUAGAUUAAGAUUCUAAUUUGAUUUAGAUUCUUUCCUAUUAGGGAAGAUUUGGAUUUAGAUUUGAUUUUUGGGUUAUGAUUUAUUUCCAAAAAUUCUUGUAACCAACCCUAUAUAAAGUACUCAUAUUCAAUAAACAGAGAAGAAGUUUUUGAUGCAAUUGGUGAGAGAGUUAAUUCUCUUUAGUUCUUUACGAACUCUUUGAACUUAUCCGAUUUCCGUGGCGUUCAAAUUCUUGACUUAUCAAUCAGACCAUCCAUAACUGAUUGUGGCGUCUUCACAUACCAAGGUUCGUGCUUUCAAUAAGCAUUGGGUCGAGAUUCCAUUCCAUUUCUGGUUUAGAUUCGAUCUUGAGAACUAAAUUGAUUAGGGUCGUGUCAGUUCUUGACGGGGUUCGUAUCACAUACCUUAAGUAUGGGCUUUAGUAUUAGAAAAGAUACCCAUGCUAAUAAUAAGUGUAAUAGUGAAAUUACAUCCAAAGUUUGUGUUUGUUGCAAACAAGGUUAUCGAUAGAAAGCCAAACAGAUCUUCCAAAAGUAAAGUAUAGAGCAAAUACAAGAGCCAUGUAUCAUGCUGGAUUAUUUAUCAAGCAAAAAUGAAGAAGAAUAAUUGGUUCGUUAAUUAUUUUAUUGAGUCUCAUAACCAUUCGCUUCUAAUGCAAGAGUGUGCCCACAUGCUACCUUCUCAAAGACAAAUAAUUGUUUCGCUAGCAAUUGAAGUAGACUUGGCAGAAGAAUCCAGGAUUUCACUUAAAUCUGCAUAUAGUUAAUGGGCAGACAAGUGGGAGGGCGAGAACCUCUUGGAUACACAAAAUUAGAUCAAAAUAACUAUUUUAGAACAAAGAAAUAGAAAGAUUUAGCUUACGGAGAAGCAGGGUAUUUAUUGAAAUAUUUUUCUGAUGAAACUUUAAAAAAUCCAUCAUUUUUAUACUCUAUGCAACUAGACAAUGAGGAACGGGUCACAAAUAUAUUUUGGGCAGAUUCUAAAAGUAUUAUUGAUUAUGGCCAAUUUGGAGGUGUUUUAAGUUUUAAUACAACUUACAAAGUAAAUAAAGAAAAUCGACCAUUUGCAACUUUUGUUAGAUUUAAUCAUCAUCGAGUGACAGUUUUAUUUGGGGCAGCUUUGAUGUAUGACAAGACUAAUAAUUUAUUUAUAUGGUUGUUCAAUUUGAAGGCAAUAUCUGCGAAAUCACCAUAAAUGAUCUUCACAUACUAGGAUGCUGCAAUGACUUAAGCUAUUUCUCAUGUAAUGCCUAAUACUACAUGGCAUAUGAUGCAAAAUGUCUUAAAGCGUGUAAAUAAUGUUUUUAAAGGUCCUAAAGGGAUAAAAAGUGAAUUAUCUACUUUCAUGGAGUCCAUUGAAGAGAAAGUUUAGUUUUCGAGUGCUUGGAAAGCAAUGCUUAAGGAAUAUGAUGUGUAUGAUAAUAAUUUGUUGAAAAUUGUAUUUGAGUUAAAGGGAGAAAUGUGCUUAUGCAUAUAAGGCAAGCAUGGUUAGCUAGAAUCAAUAGUAACCAACUUAGUGAGAGUUUUAAUAUUAUAACAUAAAAGAUUACCUCAAGUGAGACCUCAAUGUAGCAUAAUUUCUUAUGCAUUUCGAGAGGGUAAUUAAUGAUAAAAAGUACAAGAAGUUGGAAGCAGAGUACGAUUUAUGCUAUAGGCUAGUUUUAUUUUUAAAGAUUAACUGAAGAAAAUUAUUAUGAGUAAUGCAUUUGUUGUUGCUGUGUGGUAUUCAAGAUAAGUUUCAGCACUUAUUUCACUUUAUGCUUUUUAUAUUUUAAUUGAUGAGUUAAUUGAUUUAAAGUUUUGUUUGCUUGAGUUCAUAUAUUAUAUAGAUUGACGGAUGCAAAAUUUUAUGUAGUUUUUUAAACUUCAUUAGCCAAGACAUUUAUUUCAGAGUGGAGGACAUUCUUACAUUUGAUGCAUCCAUGAAAUUUCACAUUUUAUUGUUUUCAACGAGCACAACUCAGCUCAAUUGAAAGCUAUCUCAGAAACAGAACAAACUUUAUACAGAAAUUGAACUUCAGACGCUAAUAAACAUCUAAAAUAGUUUUGUUACUAGAUUAUAAUCGAAGACAAUAAAAAAUAUUGCAUUUUCCCUUCAUCAUAAUAAUAAUAAUAUGUAUUACGUAAAAUAAGAAUGACAUGAUAAGCGUGGCAUUUUCCCUUCAUUAUAAGAAGGGAAAUUAUCAGCUAUAUACUCUUAAAUGAUACCAGUAUCAAACGUGCUACAACACUUUUCAAGUGUAUCACUCGUAUACUCUAAGUUGACAAAACAUUUUUGCCGAGUGCCGUCCAUCAAUCCGUUAACUGCCAUUUGCAAGCGCUGACAUCAUAAGGGUAAUCUAGUCUUUUUAAAAAAACGACAUGUCAUCCCAUUUACCUAGUAAAAACGACAUGUCAUAUGAUAUAUUUUGAUACAAAUGACAUGUCAUCACAUUUCUCGGAUAAUUGUUAAUAAUUACUUUAAAAAAAGCUACUUUACAACCGAAUCUACUCCUCCAAAAUUCAACCUAAAUUAUUGAAGAUAUACUCCUCUAAGCUCAAACUUGAAUUUUUUAUGGUAUAAGAUGAAUUUUUUUUAUGGAUAAUUGUUAAUAAUAUGUACCAUUAAUAAUUUAUAUUUUUUUUAAUAAAAAAAUGUAUUGUUAAUAACAAAAUAAAAAAAAUUAUGUAUUAAAAAUUUAUAUUAAUUUUUAAGGUAAAUUUAUUUUUUUACUUAAUUUUGAGUUUAAAGGGUAAAAUAGUCAUUUUGCUAAAAUUCUGUUAAGUUCUUAACGGUAGUAAACGGAAAGAUAGACAUCAGAAUUCUUUUAUCAACUUAGUAUAUACGAGUUAUAUAAAUGAAAAAUAUUAUAGUACGUUUGAUACGAAUGUUAUUUAAGGAUAUAUGGCUGAUAAUUUUCCUUAUAAGAAUGGCAUGUUUUCUAUAAAAUCUUUUCUUUUUCCUUUUUUUUCUGCCCUUCUUCUAUUUUAGCUUCCACGUAUUGGGAAUUAGUUGUUAUUGAUUUGGUGAAAAUGGAAUUUGCACUAUUUGGAUCCUAAGAGGGGGCAAUCAGGAUCCUGAUUCAUUGUUCAGAUUUCUUCAAAAAGAAUAUUUCGGUUAAAGAGUGCAGAGUAGGGCACAAAUGAUUAAAGCAUUUUGCAGAUUUCUUUUUUUUUUUUUUUGGAUCCCACAUCGACUAGGUGGCCAAUUCACUCCGUUUUUUCUUCACUUCCAAAAUUCAUUGGCGUUAAAGGGAUGCGCUCUAUUGCUGACCUUUUAUUGGCCCAGGUAACAAAUCUUUUUUCCUUUUUUUUUCCCCUUUUAUGUUCUUUUGUUGUUGAUUCUAUCACGCUUCUUUGAUUAAAACAUGGGGAAGUUGUCUAAUUAAGUCACAAUGGUAAGAAUCUGCAGUAUUGUUUUGAAGUUUGCUAGUGUUGAAACUUGGCUCCCAAAAUCAUUAUAGUUUUGGGUUUGGACUAGAGAAGGAAGAUAAGAGUAUAUCAAACUAAAACCACAAUUACUUGAUCACAUUAUAUCAGUUUGCUUAGGCUAUAUGGGCUGACUUAAUGAAAUAGUGACGAUAAUGAUCGUAACUGAGGAAAAGAAGAACAAGCAUGAACAUUUUGCACCACUGUAUUAUGAAUAUAAUUCCUUCAAAGUAAAAGGCUCUAUAUGGAGUAUUAAUAUUGAGUUGGAGUUAGUUAUAUACAACGUGUUACUUGGUAUUCCAUUAUUAUUAAAUUAUGCAAAUCUGUUCCUUUGUCCUUCAUGUCAUGGCUAAAUACUUUUUCAUGCUUGUUGCAGACCUCUGUGGUUAGUGUAGUGAAACCUUGCUGGAUCUUGAGCCCAUUAAUGGGAUGUGGCACUUGAGCGAGAAUGGAAAACCUCGUGGGCAGAUUGAUGUAAUUAUUAUUGGUGAUACAGUGCUGCUACCUUUGCUCCCUCUCUCAUCAAAAAAUUGUCUUAAAAUUUUGCACUAAGAAAAUCUGUGUUUUUUAUAUUGCCGUGGCAAAAUGUUAAAUGGGCUUCACUUUUUUUUUUGGGGUGGGGGGUGGGGAUAAAAAAGAAAACAAAAGAAAAUUUUCAAAUUUUACAUUCCAUCAUUACCUCGGACUCAGGAGUGGGGAAAGGUUAAAGUUUUGUACAGUAAUAUAGAGAAACCCUCUGCCAAUCCAAACCUCUGUGAAAGGGAUCCCAUUUCAUGACAAUCUUUGUGGGUUUUGAGUUGGAAUACUCUGGCAGGUUAGAAGUUGUUUCAAUUAAUUAUCUAUAACAUAUGAGUUGUGUUAAAUUGUAUGACUAUAUAGUGAUUCAUUGUAGGAUACUAGGACAUCAAAGAGCUCAAAAUUUCUGACAGAUUUUCUUCCUAAAUUUGGUUAAAAUGUGAUGGAUAGAUUAGAACUAAGUUGCUCAGCAAUUUGUAGCUGUAAACAUCUAGAAGGCUGGAACUAAAUGCCAUUUGAUUAGGUUAGAAUAAUAUGAGCCGAGCUUACAAUCUUUGUCAUUCAUUCAAUUGCUUUUUCAGAUGACCACAAUUCAUCAUGUUGAUAUUAUCCGAUUGGUGCCUUGUAAAUUUCCUUUAUGACUAUGAUAUAGGGCAUUAUUGAAGAGUUGAAAAUAUCCAAAGAAAAUUAGCGAGAAUAGGUUCUGGAUUAAAAAGACAACUUUAUGCAUGUUUCCUUUCUGCUUCAUCAAUUGAUUAUAGACCAUUAAUUACCUAUGCCCUUUUUUGUUUCGGCUUUGCUUUACAGUAAUAGUGCCUAGAUGUAAUGAUAGGAAAAUGUGCGAAUCGGUUGUCUAUUCAUCUGGUGUACCUCUAAUAGCUAGAAAAAUGAAGGUAUAUAUCCUUUGAAAUAUUCAGUUUGUUUAGUGUCUAAACUAUGUUUUGUUCAGUCAACCAUUCCUAAAUUGUUUCGAAGCUUCAUGCUGCAUUUAUCCAGUUUGUAGAGCCUGGAACUAAGUUCUAUAUGGACAGUUCUUGCAGCAUCUGAGGAUCCCCUUCUGCUAGUAGUGCAGCAUCAUUAAAGGCACCUUUGUUAAUGGUGUUGAUUCUGUCUCAUGGACGGCAAAUAACUCAGUGAAGCUUUUUAGUUCCCAGAGUGAUGGUACUCAUUGUUGGACCUUUUUCAGCGCUGCAGCUUAUGGAAAAUGAAACAAGGUUCCACAGAUCUGUUGGUACAUAAAUGUGUGUCUUGUUUAAAAUACUUGUUUUCACAUGAUUAUAUGCUAGCAUUGACACACUUUUUUAUCAAUUGCCUAGACCUGUUGAAUCCAUUCAUACUUCAGCUUGAAAUCCGAGCUAUUGAAACAAGGCUGCAAUGAGUUCAGUUUUGGACUAUCCUUAUAGUUGUCCUAUUUCCUUUAUGGUUAUAAGUGCUGCGUUUGGCAUAUGAAUCUAAUUGAAUGAAAGUGAAUCAGGGGUUGGUCUUAAAAGCGCAUAUUGUUCAAAUACAAAAAGUAAUAUUAUUUGAGACAAUUCAUACGGCUUCCUUUGAGUGAAAAAUAGUCAUAUUACCAUUUAAACUGGCAUGAUAUGUUCUUCCAGUUUAUUUGAAGAAUUAUGAGAAGAACCUCAGGUGUGUUAACUAAAAAAUGCCCAAAAUGGACUGUUCAUAUUCAUGCCACUGAAUCCCAGGUAUGUUAAUUUUAAACUCCAAUUAAAUGCUCUAAUCUUUCUUCACUCAUUUUAGCAUGUAUUCCAUAAUUCAUGCUUUCUUCUUCCCCUUUUAAUUUUUCCUCUUCUUCUCUUUUAGCUUCCGUAGUAUUGGGAAUCAGUUGUUAUUGAUGUUGGAAAAAGGAAUUGUUUUAUUUGGAUCAUAAGAGGGACAAUCCUGAGCUUGAUUAUGUACUUUCCAUUUGACGCCAUUUAUAUUUAUAGGCUUCUUCAAUAAGUUGAUGUCGUUAUCUGUGUGAAUAUUUUUAGCUCUUGUAAUAAUGCUAUUUGAUUUCUGAUAACUAGUAAUUGGGUAUGGAAAGUGAAACAAGGUUUCCCAGGUCAGUUCAUAAAUAAAUAUAUGUUUACAUUCACGCACUUGCUAGUCAAUUGCUUAGAGCACUAGCAUAGUAGAAUAGCUUCACACUUUAGCUUGAAUUCCCAAGCUAUUGAAUGAGUUCAGUUUUAUGUGCAUAUUUAUUUAGAUUUGGUAAUAAUAUUAGCUUGAUUUUCUGCGUUAUACUUUGAAUCAAUAUAAUGUUUCAAUUUUACAGCAGAGAUUUAUGUUGCUAUUUAGCUUCAGAAAUAUCAGACAAGGAAUUUCAAACAUAAGCUCGAAGCUUGAUUAUUCACAUAUAAAUAAUGUGAUCUAUGUCGAUUGCAGAUUAUUUAGGAAGCAGUAUAGGUCAUACUGAGGUGUUAUCGUGCACAAAAUUAUUGUUUCAUCUGACAUAUUGUUCGCUUAAGCAAUAGUAAUGAACUUGAGGUGUUAGUUUUUGAAGUCUUCUGUUUAUAUAUAAGUUGUAUUGAAUCUCUCUCGACAAUCUUUCUUCUAGUUUUGAUCAUUGCAUCAUAAUUUUCACAUCUGUGUUUAUAAUAUAACUCUGUGCAUUACUUCAUCUUUUUCUCACUUUUUGAUUCCUUGCAUCUUGAAUCUGUUUAAUCAAUAUUCUGGACUUCUUUUGUGGAGAGGCUGCCCUUCUGAGAAUCUGUUUUCAGUUAUCACUUACCCCUUCUAAUAGUUUGCAAACCAGAUGUGGUUUUUGCAUGUUCAUAAACUUGCAAUGUAAUUUGUUUAUUAGUUCAGUUAAUACAAAUUUCAAAGAUGAAAAACACAAAACGACUAUUUAUUCCAAGCGUAUAUAUUUAUAUCUUGGACAGCAUUGAACUCUUUUUUUUAAAAAAAAAAAAUUGUUACAAUUGCCACAUUUGUAAUCUAAAAUUUAUUGGGAAUCUAGAUACAGACACUUAGUAGUGCAAUCAAAAAUAAAAAAAAUCUGUCGGACAUUAACUUGAAAAUAUGUUUCUACUACUAUUUGGAGAAGUGUAUAUUGUACGUGGCAUUGAACUUUUCUUUCUAUUUCUUUUUUCAAAAUUAUUACAAUUCACACAUAUUUCAUUCUAAAAUUUGUUGAGAUUCUAGAUACAAAUACUCAAGGAUACAAUUUUAAGCAAAUGAGCAGUUUGCAUAAUAUUUUACUCGUGGAGACUGGAGAUAUCUACCCUUAAUUAUUUAGUGAAAAUAAAUUAGAUAUCAAAUUUUGUCAUAACAAAAUUAAUCCAAAACAAAACAAAAGAUGUCACCUUAAUUGUUGAUAUAUCUGAAUCUUAUUAUCCUCCUUUUGCAACUAUGAAAACAAAAGAAUAUUUCAGCAGUGGCGAGAGAGCAGGGCAGAAUCAAGUAUAAAACAUAGGAUAAGGAACGAGAUUAUAACGAACAAAACUACCACUAAAUGAUGACAACUUUCAUUUCAUUUGCAUCUUCAUCCUCUCUGAUUCUUCAACCCCUUAAACCCCCAAAAUCCUCAAGACUCUCAAAAGCAAAGACACUAACUUCAACCAUUAAAGCAACUUCUUCUCAACCAAAACCCAACAACGCAAAUGCUAAAAAACCCACUUCAAGAAACCGCAGAAGAUCAUCGUAUGGCAGUUCGAGAAGGUCAGCUCUCAAGAAAACAUUCGCCCAAGAGCAAGUCACGUUCACUACACCCGUCUCCAGUGACCCGUGUGUGGGGAUUAUUGGUGGAGGCAUGGCCCGUCUCGCACUCUCGCUUGUGCUUUGAGUUUGGAUAAGAGAGGUGUAAAGUCCACUAUUUUUGACACGGUUUGUCACUUGUCUGGUUUCUUGGCCUUUUUUUUUUCUGUACUUUUGUGUUUUUGAUUGGAGAGCUUGAAGUGGGUGGCCAAUUCAAUUAUCUGUUUAAUAUGGUUAGGUUGUGUUUGUAUUUGAGAGUAUACGCUUGUAUAAUGGUAAUGUAAAAAAUUUGCUGUCAACAGUCUAGCAUGUGUUGUUAUGCAUUGAAUUUUGAUUAUAAGCAUCUUUUGGAAUUGAGGUGCUCUGACCUUUGAUCUGCGUUUGUUGAGGAAUGAAAUUAAAACAUUAGCUGCUAAAUAAAAAUGGGGGUUCAUCAAAAUUUUAGUCAACCACAUUUAUGUAUUCUUAACACUGUGCUUUGCUAUAUCAGGGGAAUCAUGGCUUGGGAGGAAGAAUGGGAACCAGAAUGAUUGGUCCUCAACCACUGAUAUUUGAUCAUGCUGCUCAAUUCUUUACUGUGACUGAUUCUCGGUUCAUGAGUUGGUUGAUGGUUGGUUGGAGAGAGGUCUGGUGUGACCAUGGGAAGGUGCGAUUGGAGAGCUUGAAGUGGGUGGCCAAUUCAAUUAUCUGUUUAAUAUGGUUAGGUUGUGUUUGUAUUUGAGAGUAUACGCUUGUAUAAUGGUAAUGUAAAAAAUUUGCUGUCAACAGUCUAGCAUGUGUUGUUAUGCAUUGAAUUUUGAUUAUAAGCAUCUUUUGGAAUUGAGGUGCUCUGACCUUUGAUCCGCGUUUGUUGAGGAAUGAAAUUAAAACAUUAGCUGCUAAAUAAAAAUGGGGGUUCAUCAAAAUUUUAGUCAACCACAUUUAUGUAUUCUUAACACUGUGCUUUGCUAUAUCAGGGGAAUCAUGGCUUGGGAGGAAGAAUGGGAACCAGAAUGAUUGGUCCUCAACCACUGAUAUUUGAUCAGACAGCAUCUUACAUGGCAUACCUUUAUUUUUAAAUUAUUUAAAUAAGUUCCUUUGUCCUUCAUGCCUUUAAUGCAUUUUGAUUCUUGUUGCAGACCUCUAUGGUUAGCAUAGUGAGACCUUGCUGGAUAAGUAAUCUUGAGCCAUUUAAUGGAAUGUGGCACUUGAGGGAGAAUGUGAAACCACGUGGGCAGUUUGAUGUGGUUGUUAUUGCUCAUAAUGGUGAUUCAGUGCUGCUAUCCUUUCUCGUUUUCUCUCUCUGUGGAUUGUUAUAGUCUUACAUUUGCAUUCCAAAAAUGCAGGUUAUUGUUUUUCGUAGUUGUAUGAACGUGACAAUUGCCUUUGCUAUUGGAAAAAAAAUAAAAUAUUUCUGAUUUUACUCUCUAUCAUUACAGUGGAUUAGGAAUGGAAAAUAAUCUGGUUUAUUACAGGGAAACCCUACCGAAAUCCAAACUCGGUCCCUCUCCCUAACCAUCCUGGAAUACCCUGGGGGGUUAGAAUGCAUAUAGUGUUACAUUAUAUGAUUUUGUAGUUCGCUGAGUUCUUAUGUUUUCUGGGAUACUAGGACUUCAAAAAGCGCUGAAAACUUCAUAGAAUUUCAUACUGAUUUUUCACUGUCAAUUUGGAGAAAAUGAUGGCUAGAUUACAAGUAAGAUUAAGAGCGACUUUUAAAUUUAAUCAACUGGAAGACUGGUAUUGAAUGGCUAUUAGUUAGGUUAGAAUAAGAUGAGCUAGACUUUCAAGCUGUGCCAUGCAUUCACUGGCCGUUGUAGUAUUACGUAGGUUGUUAUGGAAGUAAAAAAGAUCUCUAUAAAUUUAACAACCAGAUUAGGUUUCUAGAUCCAGAAGUCGAGGUUAUGUUUAUUUGCUUACUCUUUCGACUGUUAAUUGCCUAUGUCUUUUUCUGUUUACAUUUUGGCUUAGCUUUGUAAUAAUAGUUCCUUCAUGUAAUGAUAGGAAAAUGUGCAAACUGGUUGCUUGGUUCAUCUGGCUUACCUCAAAUAGCUAGACAAAUGAAGGUAUAUGCUUUGAAAUAUUCAGUUCUUUUAAUAUUAUCUAGCCUAUGUUUUAUUCAGUAUUGGCCAGUUCUAAUUAUUUUGAAGAUUCAUAACUCAUUUUCCUGGUUUGUAGAGGCUGGAACUAAGUUCUAUAUGGGCCCUUCUUGCUGCAUUUGAGGACCCCCUCCCACUGGGCAGUGCAUCAACAUUUGAAGGCGCCUUUGUGAAAGGUGUUGAUUCUGUCUCAUGGAUGGCAAAUAACUCAGCAAAACUUUUGAAUUCUCAGAGUGAUGCUCCUCACUGUUGGACCUUCUUCAGCACCGCAGCUUACGGAAAACAAAACAAGGUUCCACAGGUCAGUUUGUAUAUAAAUGUGGGUCUUCUUAAAAGUACUUGCUUACACAUGAUAAUAUGCUAGCAUUGGCACACUUUUUAACCAAUUGCCUAGACCUCUACUUGAAUCCAUUCAUGCUUCAGCUUGAACUCCAAGCUAUAGAAACAAGGCUGCAAUAAGUUCUGUCUUUUUGUGCAUAUUUAUGUUCCCUUUUAUACUUGAAUCAAUAUGACAUUUCAAGUUUACAGCGAACUUUGGUGCUGUGUGGAUAUAUAUAUGUUGCAAUUUAGGCUUUCUGCAAGAUUUUUAAUGAUUUUUUUAUCAUUUAUUAGGAAAAUAUCCCAACUGCAACAGCAGAGAAGGUGAAAAAAGGUAUGCUCGAGGGUGUUGAAGCUGCACUUGGCCGACCGAAAGGUUCACUUCAGAAGCCCAUUUAUACUCGAGUCCAUUUAUGGUAAGACUCCACUUUUAAGGACAUGACCUUGUAAUUUCAUUUUUUUAUCUUGUCCAAUUUGGAUCCUUGUAACCUACUUGACCUGUAAAUAUUUGCUGUUGGUGUUGGUUUAGAAUGAGUGGUUGAUUUGAACAAGCUUAAAAAGUUAUUGUGUGGACUUGUGUAUAGUCCUAGUUCUAUUUUCCUGUUACGCUCAUUUUUAAAAAAAGAUGGAACAUGUCAUUCCAAUUUAUUAAAUAAAUAAAACAACUUCAGAAUUUCAUGAUUAAGAAAAUAGUUCCUAUGUGAUGAAUUAGGUAUUUAUUUAUUUAUAUAUCUAUUUUAUUUAUUUAUUUUUUUGGGGGGGAAAUGUGUAGGGGUGCAGCUCUUCCAACUAAUACUCCAAGUAUUCCAUGUAUCUUUGAUCCUCAUGGAAGGGCUGGUAUAUGCGGCAAUUGGCUGUUGGGUUCAAGUGUAGAGUCAGCUGCAUUGAGUGGCAUGGCUCUUGCCAAUCAUGUAAGCAAGAAUAUGAUUUUUCUUUUGCUUAUUUGGUUUUAUUUUGUGCAUGUAACUAUAUAUUUCAUGAUUGAUAUAAAUAAAAUAAAAUAAAUCUAAGACAACCAUUCUAUCCCUAUAGGGACAUCUAAAUAUAAAUUUGCAGGUUGGCUUCAAUCAGAUUGAAAUAUCAGACAAGUUUCAACAACAUUAGCUUGAAGCUUGGUUAUUCUUAUAUAAAUAACGUAAUCGGUCUAUGUAGAUUGCAGACUAUUUAGGAAGUGGUGGAGUUCGUCCUGAGGAAUUUGCUGUCGGUUUACACAACGAGUUUCAAUUGCUCGAAGGACAUGAUAUUGGACAAUUCCCGGGUUUGGAGUCCGUGAAAAAAGAGCAAGUUCAAGCAUAUCAGCUUACUUCUUGAAUCCCUAAGCAGGCCACAAAAAUUUCU